rnacentral:lncRNA from 1 species
AAGAGAAUAUGCAUAUACAUAUACAUACCGUAUCGGUUCCAGCAGGGCCUGGUGAAGAAGCGCCGAGGCUGGGAGUAGGGGCCUCAGUUGAUGGAGACGGUGGGCUGGAGGCCGAAGGUGAUAGCGCUGGAGACUUAGCUUUGGUCUUGCUAGGGGCCGGAGCUGGAACCGUGGCAGGAGGAGAAGCCAAAGGAGCUGGUGGUGGGGUAGCUGGAGGAGGAGUAGCAGGAGGGGGAGAAGCAGGUGGUGGGGUAGCCUGAGGUGGAGAAGCCGGUGGGGGAGUUGCGGGAGGUGGGGUAGCUGGGGGAGGAGUAGCCGGUGGAGGAGAAGCUGGUGGUGGGGAGCUAACGGGCGGGGGAGUCGCUGGAGGAGGAGUGGAAACUGGUGGUGGAGAAGCUGUCACUGGAGGUGGUGAUGAUGUAGGAGGAGGAGUGGAAGCUGGUGGCGGAGAAGUAGUUGUGGGUGUUGGAGGUGGUUGGGUAGUAGGCGGAGGUGUGGAAGCGGGUGGGGUCGGCGGCACCGGCGUGGAUGUCGGAGGAUUACUAGGAGUAGGAGGAGCUUGGCCUAAAGCGCCAGCUACAGCAAUGCAAAACAAAGCUGAUAAGAACAAAAACUUGUUAUUAAGCAUCAUGUUGGAAACAAUGGUGACCCUUUAAUCCUGCACACCCUCUCCGCUUAAACUACGCCCAGCCGCGCAAGCAAAAGAGGGAGAAGAAUAGCAAGUAUGAGAAAUGAAAAGAUGGUGAUAUUUAUAUAGAGGAUAUGGAAAUUUCUAUAUCAUAUUUCAAUUUUAAAUCCCAAAAACAAAUAAUUUAAUAACAUUUUUAUUUUAUUACUAAUGGGAAAAUUAUAUUACUAAUCCUAUGCAAUUUUCUAUUUUAAUUUAGUGUAAUUUAACUCUUUCGUUGUGUUAUUAAUAGGUUCAAAAUUGAUAUUCGAUCGUACAAGCAGAGAUGUAGAAAUGAAUCAAUUUUGUUAAAUAAGCAAUAAAUCUCAAUCUUAGUCAAAUGCUUAAAGCUGUUAUAAAAAAAAAUCACGUCACCAUUUUAACAUUAAUAAGUAUCAAAUUAUAUAGAAGUAAAGGAUUAAAUCUCUAAUUUCAAUUUAGUAAAGGGACUAAACUGGAAUUAAAGGGUUAGAGUUUUUUCCUCGUUUGGUGAGGUAAAAUAAAAACCCUAGUGGGGCAUCACUUUGAUGAUUAUAAAUGAUGCGUUAGUUAGUCAUACUUUAGGUAAAAAACUGUAGGUGAGAUUAGUGUAGAUUGAAAUAUUUUAGUGAAAGGUUAAUUUAUACCUUAAAAAUUUUGCAAUAUUUGGUAGUUCCAUGAAAUGAUUCCCACUAUCAUCAACUUUUCAAUCAUUCAAAUAGGUUUUAAUUUGUUUUGUUGUGAAAUUUUUAAGGAGUCAGGUCCGGUUGUUAUAAAAUUUUAGGUUUGAAUUUGACUUGAAAAAUAGGUUUAAAAUUUUACUUAAACCCAGUCUAGAUAAAAAUAUUAAACUCAAGUCUGGACGUAUUAAACUUUUUAUAUUAUUAUUUAUAUAAAAACAAAUUUAAAAAAUAUAAUACAUCAAAUACACUAAAAAUAUUAAAAUAGAUGUUUCCCAACAAAUUGAAAAUACAUUAAAAAAGUUUUUAUACUUAGCAAGCAAAUGCCUCUAAAAUAGUAGCAAAAUUAACAAUAAAAGAGUUAUAUAAUAUCCAAACAAUAACAGCAAAAUAGUAGUAAUAUAAUAGCAAAAUGGCAACAAAAUAACAGUAGAAAAAAAAAUUUAGGCAAAUUCGGGCUGAGCUGUGUCAAGCCCAGGUAAAAAAAGAUCUUACCCGAGGUCGGCCCUUUUAGAAAAUGAGCCUUAUUUUAUUGUCGAAACUCAUUUUCUAGACCUAUAUUUUUCCCAAAUCCUCCCACUUAUGGGGCGAUAUUUAGGGCUUGGGCAGGUGGCUCGGCGCAUGAUUAGGUCUAACGAUGGAUUCUUUUGUUAGUAAUGUUUAUUUUGGUGUUUGAGUUUUUUGUGUCUUAAUUUGGUACCUAAUUUUGGCUUUAAUUUUUUUUCCAAUUAAGCACUUAAGUUUGGCUUCAAUGUUCAAAUUGGUACCUAAUUUUUUUUUGUCCAAAUUAAUUACCUAUAUUUUGUUUACCAAAGCACGUGUGUCAAACAUUCAUUGGGUCAUAUGAUGACAUUUGGCUUAGGUAUCAAAUGAAUAUCAAAUCCGAACUUGAGUACCAAAUUGAAACAAAAAACACAAAUACCAACUAAGUAUUGAAGCUAAUCUCAAAUAUGGAAUGGUAUGUUAGCCCAUUUGUAAACAAAAUUUCAAGGAAGACUUAAAAUUUAGCAUCUACUAAGCUUUCAGUUUCCCUUUUGUAUGUUACAAUUGAUGUUUGUUUAACGCAUAAACUUGGUAUCUUUUUUCCCGUAAUGAUAUUUAAGCUUUUUUUUAUACUUGAUAUCCAAACUUUCAUUCUGUCACACCAUUUUGAGCAAUUUUUGUACAACUAUAUUAAAAUCUGUAGUUUGGUUAUCUUCAACAUUAAGGAUUUCUACGACAUACUUUUUGCGCAUUCCUCCCAUGACAUUAAGAAGUAGGGAGGCGAAAGUGGUGGUGCUAAAAGGAUCAGUUUAUCUAAUUAAGUGGAGAGUUGAAAAGGGAAAUAAAUUAGGAAGGAGUAGGGGACUCACACAUCCAUAACAUAUGCAUAUGUUAAGAUUAAAAAUUUACACAACCCAAUUGCAAAUGGUGAGACUUGGACUUGGAUACUCAAGGAUCCAAGAUCUCGCCUUAACCAACAAUGUUAAGAUCUCAUUGACUCUUUUGGAGUUUUUUCAAAUUCAGGAUUAAAAAUUAUGAUAUAACUCAAUAUAAUAUUAAAGAGUAAAAAUUAAUCAAAAUUUACAUAUAUCACUCAUUUAAUCAUGUGUACAGAUAAAAGGAAACCACUCGUCCUCUUGCCAACCCUACGUGUAACAUAAUUCACUAUAAAUUCCAUUUACCAACAUAUACAUACAUACAUAAAUAUAAAAGAGAACUUCAUUGGUCUUGGACUGGAUUGGCUACAAACUUUGACAAAAGGCAUGUGUAGGAGGAUUAAAUUCGAUGAAUUGCAUGAUAGUUUCUCCUUUUUGAUAAUUUAGUACAUGAGAGAAUAAUGAUGAUUGUGGGGGGGGGGUGCUCCAUCGAAAUAGCUGGAAUUUAUUUAUUUUAGUGAACUGGCAAAUGUAAUUUGUACGCCAAGUUAUAAGGUGAAAAAGGGAGAAAUCAUAUAGAUUUGGUUGGUAAUGGUAUGUUGAUGUUGAAGCACCUGCGGUGCAACGCCACAAUUAGUAGGCCCCUACCCCCGCUGUCACCCCAUCAUAUGUGCUUUUGGAUGGAUCCAACAUUUUCGUGUUCUUUCCUUCUUCAACAUCAUCAUUAUUAAUUAGUUACUCUUCAAUUUCUAUAUGUAAUUUGCUUUCUUUUCAUUCAUAGGUUUUCUGUUUUUCUUUCUUUGAUUUUGUCUUGUGCACAACUGACGUCCUCCAUUAUUUUUCCCCUGACGUCCUCCAUUAUUUUUCCCCUUUUGUAUAAUUGGGUUUGUGACUUCAAUAGUCUCCGUUUGUAUGGAAAUUAUUUUAUGGAUUUUUUCAUCAUAUCAUUUACGAUAUAUUUUUAGUUAUUUAAUGAUAUUUUAGUAAUUUUUUAUACCAUUGAUACAUAAAUUUGUUAAUUUUUUUACCCAGAACCUUUAAUCUCGAACUUAGAACCCCGAACUCCGAAUCUUGAACCUUGAACCCCAAACUUAAACCUUGAAUCUUGAAACCCUCAAGGUUCAGGUUUGAGGUUCGAGUUCGGGUUCAAAGUUUGUAGUUCAGGGUUUGAGGUUUGAAAUUUAAGGUCUGGGUUUAGGGUCAAGGUUCAAGGUUCAGGAUUUUGGGUUUGAGGUUCGAGAUAAAAAAAAUUAUCAAAAUUAUAUGUCAAUGAAAUGAAAAAAAUUACUGAAAUGUCAUUAAAUAAUAGGAAAGAGACCAUGGAUGAUGUGGUGGGAAUGGUCCAAAAAUAAUUUCUCAUUUGUAUGGGGUAUUGUUCCUUAUCUAUUAUAAUUUGGUAUCUCUAUUUUUAUAAUAUUAUUAGUAAAUCCAAAUUUAUAACGAUGUUGAUUGCUUCAAUAAAAUGAUAAGGUGGAUUUUUAUAGGAAGAAAGUUAUUUGAGUUUAUUCGAAGUUAUAAUUUAUAAUUGUAUUACCAAUUAUUAAAAAUAAAUAACUUAACUCAAACUAAGUCAUCAGAAUAAAUUUGAUUGUGGGAUUUGAAUUUGAGCGCUCCUUAGGCUUCAUUAGCUUAUUUGGGCUCUAUUUACUAAAAGAAAAUUAUCAACAAAAAAAUUCAUGACGAGCCAUUAAUAAUUUUAUUAAUUUGAACUAAUCAAGUCGCUGAUCGAUUUAUCGAGAUAACUUUAGAGAAGAGUUUAGUUAUAUAAGUGUAUGAAAGACAUCCUGAAAGAAUUAGCAGUUGUUAUUGAGAUUGAUAAAGGAGUAAUUUAUUCCAUUAUGAUAGAUUGAUAUAAUUUAAUUGUGUUUUUUUAUUUAUUUAUUUUAAAAAGAGUAGAAGGACGUAGUAAAGGAAUUUUCAUGCAUCAAUAAUUUAUAAUUUAAACUAUGAAAUUUCAAAAAAGAAGAAAUUCAUGUUGAAAUUGAUACUAUCAAGCAAUUUAGAAGUGUAAAAUUUUCAAUAUCAGCUGGAUAUUUAAUGUCAAAUAAACUAAAGAAAUGAGAAAGACAAGCCAAUUGUCCACAAUGAUUAACUUGUUCCUAAAAAGAAAGUUGUACAUUGACUUUGCUUAUAAAUCAAUCCAAUUUUUUUUAUAUAAAAGGAAACAAUUACAUACUUAUAUUGAGUUAUUUGUACCACAACCCAUUUAAUUAUUAUUUUAAUUAUCGAUUGAGUCUUAGUUCAGUUGGUAUUGACAUUAUUAUCGGUGUAGGAGGAAUGGGUUCAAGUGUGCUGAAACGCAUUAUCCUCCUAUUUAAAUGUUGGGAAGGGACUAUAUGAUCGAGAGUAGAUGUGAUAAGAACCUAUAAUAAGAUUAAUGUAAUGCCCCCUCGUUCCUUUAAAUGCUACUUGAAACAUACUUAAUUAUUAUUUACUAAAAUAUUGACAAAUCUGUAAUUUGAAUCUAGAUUCUUAUCAUAUCGGCUCUUUUUGGUACAAUGCUUACAACUAUCCAUAGCCCCUCCCCAAUCAUUAAAUAGGAGGAUAAUACACUUCAACGCAUUCGAAUCCACAUCCUCUUGUACUGACAACAAUGUUAAUCAAUACAAUUCUAAAUACGAGUGUACUACUUAGAUAAUCAUAUCCAAGGUACACAUAGUUUUAAAAUUUGAUCCACACAUUUAAAUAGACCCCACCUCUGAUCUUAUCUAGGAUUUAUCACCGAAGCUGACGGUUAGACAAACAAAACAACUUGAUUGAUAUAAUAUUGAUAUUUUACAGACUCAAUCGUAAUGUUUUAUAGUUCGAGAUGAACGUAGAAUCGUGGCCAUAAUUAUGGAGGUUUGGCUGAAUUGACUCUAUUUCUAAAUAUAUCAUGGUAGACAUUCAAUAUUAAAAAAAAGAUAAAGGGAUAAUAUAAUAACCCAAAACACCAAAUUUUGGUUGGUUUAAUUUGCAGCUUUAACCAAUGCUUUUGCUUGAUCCAUCAAUUAGUGAGGAUUUCGAUCUAAAUUAGAGGGUCCCAUUCGGUUAUUAAGCUCUUUUUCCCCCCUCGUGAUUGCCAUAACAUGGGCCCUUACCCUUUUAACUUUGCUUUGGUUUGGUUUGAUUUAAGGUUUAUUCAUAAAUUGUCCCUUAAACUAUACCUCAAUUUUUAGAUUGGUCCUUAAAGUUUUUUCUAUCAAGAGUGGUCCCCACACUAUCAAAUCUAUCUCAUUUUACCCAAAAAGCUUACGACAUCCAAUAAAAAUAUUUAAAAUGUGACACGUGUUACAUUCUUAUUGGUUAAUAUCAUUUUUUGGGUAAACUAAAAUAAAAUGAACAGUUUAAUGAUCACUUUUGAUCAAAUAAAAAAGUUUUAAGGACUACUCUAGGAAUUGAGAUAUAACUUAGGGGUUAUUUUGUUAAUAAAGCUUUGAUUUAAUUCAAUAGAGAAAUCAUUAACACUGAAAGAGUUUUCUUUAAUUUACUCAAAUGGUCUUUUUGUUUGUGUCACCUAACAUUUUGAAGAACAUCCUUUCUCUGUGUACCUCAUACAAUUCGUUAAUACGAAAAUUUUAUGAUUUUUUUAAAAUAAAUUUAAUUGUCACUUUGCAUGUUACAAAUACUUUUAAAUAAGGACUUUUUUCAUAUGAGAAUACCUUUAAUACCAAUUAAAAAACAUCUUAAACUUAAUUUAUCUAAUUUCUUGGGCAGGGACCUAGCCCAAAAUUGGUAAAAUUAAAAUUAGAUCUUUCUAAUUUUGAAGCACUAAAAUUGGAUUUCUUUUAAAUUGUAAAAUUAUAAAUUUAACCCUUAAAAAAAUUAUAAUUCAACUUUAGCCUCUAAUUUUUUUUCUCUAACUUACAUCUCCGCCUAAUUCAAUAUAUUUUAAAAAAAAAUUGACUACAAACAUCUAGACAUUACCAACAAAAAUAUAUUUAUAAUUAGUAUUUAAUAUAAAAUAUUUUAAUUCUAUAAGCAAUUUUCAAAAUUUUCAUAUAUCUCGAUUUUUCUAUAUAUAUUUUUUUAUUUUUAUUAAAUCAUGAAUGAAAUAUAUAUUAUCUUUCGGAUUCUACUUAUAAAAUCUAAUAACUACACUAAUAACGUAUUAAAUCAUUUUAUGUAUAUAUAUAUAUAAGUUCAAGUGGUCCAUAGGUAGCUUAGAGUACAAGGGAUUAAGUUGAGGGCCCUUAUCAUUUUCUCCAAAUGUGAAGUGAUGUUAACUGCUUAGCUUCCUCCUCUUGCCCCAUUCAUUUUCCUUCCUUUCCACAAUAUAUAUUGUAUAAAUAUUUAUGGGUAAUCGAUUGAGUCUUAACUCGAUUAGUAUGAGUAUUGUUGUCAAUACAGGAAGGCGUGUAUUCGGCACAUUAUCCUCCUAUUUAAGGGUUGGGAGGCUAGGAGUAGUUGUAGAUAUUAUAUUUAAAAAAAACAGAUAUGAUUAAAACCUAUAAUGAGAUUAUUAAAAAAAAUAUUUAUGGGUAAUCAGUUUAUACAAUUUCAAUUAGGCGUAUAAAUCCAAUCAUUAAUCAUUAAAAUGUUUUACUUUAUGCCAUAAUAUUGUUUUAACUGCAGAAGCAUGUGGGUUAAUGAAAACUACUUAUAGUAUCUCAAUUAAAUGUAAUCAACAACCUCAACUCAUAUCUUCCUUCUCUCUCUCACUCUCAAUUAUAUAACCUACUAAUAAUUAACUUUAAUAACCCACUUUCAAGUACAUCUCAGGCUACCUGCCAUACCAAGCCUAAAGCUCCUAAGAUUUUCUAAAAGGUUUGCACAAAAAUACAAAGAUUUAUAGGAUAAUGGAUUUGGGCAAAAAAUUAAGCUUAAUUAUUUAAAUUAUAGGUUGAAUUUAUCGAUAAGUCAUGUUAAACGUAAUGGUAAGAUACAUUUGUACUCUUAAGAAAAGAAUGUAGAUUCAAAUAUUAAAAACGAUAUUGUUAAAAAAAACAAUCACAAAUCUCAAACAUGAGUCAUAAAACAGACAUGUAAAAUACAUUUGGACUCAUUUAAGAUUAUUAAAACAUGGAUAAUUUAACUCAAUAUUGCAAUUUAGUGUUACAAUAUGAUUUCGUGAUAAAAUCAAUAAUGUUGAUUUGUAUUAUUGUAUUAAGUAGUGCAUGAAAUGUAGGAUUAGAUAAAUUUGUAUAAAGUGCAUGCUAAAAACUGUUUUGAAGGCUUUAUAGAAUUCUUUUCGCUUAAAAGAUAAGAGUCUACCUGAUCAGCUAAGGUUUACAAUAUUGCUUAUAGGUUUAGCUUUCAAUCGAAUUGAGUGAAAAUUUUUUGAGUUAAUCGAGUUAACGAGUCCUAUUUUAUCAUUCUAACACAAUUUGAAAUUUUCUCGAAGUCGAGUAAAAUGAAAUUCAAGUUAAGUCGAAUCGAGUGAAAUUGUUCGAGUUAAAUUAAAAAAUUAAACAUGUCAAAUUAAAAUCUUAUUACAGUAUAAUUAAUUUCAUGUUAGAGCACAUAAUAUUGAAACCAUAUAUAUUUGAAAACUUUUUCAAAGCAAGAUAAGGAAAAAAAAUACUUUAGUAUAAUAAACUUGAAUCAUUAAUUAACUUAUUUAAGUCCCCAAAAUUAUUAUUUUAGAACAUUUUUAAAUUUUUAACUUUCUUUAUAUAUUCUUUAUAAUUUUUUUUAAAAAUAUAAUUUUUGGAAUUUUUAUAAAUAUUUUGAAUUUUGAAAUUUAUUUUGAUUUUUUUGUAUUUUUUGUUGAAAAAGACCAAUUUGCUCAUUUUCAAAAUUGACAGGGAUCAAAAGGGUAUUUAUAUCAAUCUAUUACUCGAAUUAUUCGAGUUAUUCGAAUUGUAAAAUUCUACUCGACUUGAACUCAAAACUCGAAUUACUUAUUAAAUUUUACUCGAAAAAAUCAAAUAACUCGAUUCAAUUAACUCAUAAUUCAAUUUUUAUUUUAUUUUUUCAAAUCGAGUUUUGUUCACCCCUAAUAACUUAUUAGCAAGAAUUGUUCAAUUUUAAAAUACAAGCUAAUAAGAUUAUUUUAUCUUGAUAUUAAAUGCUAUUUAUACAACUUAUAAAAGAUGGUCGAUACACACAGAUGGGGUAGACUUUUUGAGUGUUUCAUUUUUUUGGUUCAUGGAACAUUUUGCAAGGUAUAUACACCUUGAUACCUUUGGUAUUAUUUGGAGAGUUUUAUUCAUUUGUAUGCAAAUAUGUUUGCGGUAUGUGAUAAUAUUUUGGGAGAGUGAGUGUAAAGAAUUGCAUACUAGUGAAACUACUUUUAUCUACAUUUUGCAAGAUGGAUACACCAUGAUUAGAGGUGUACAUGAGUCAGGUCGGGUCCAAUCAAAAUUUUAGACCCAUUUGUUAGGCUUGGGUCCAGAUAAAAAUAUUAAAAUUUAGGCUCGGUCCGGCCCGCCUGUAUUAAUUUUUUAUACAAAUUUAAAAAAUAUACAAUACAUCAAAAAUAUUAAAAAUAUUAAAAUAAAUGUUUCUCAACAAAUUGAAAAUAAAUUUUUAAAAAAUAUAUACUUAAAUAAAACUAAGAUAGGUGAAACUUAACAAGCAAAUGCCUCUAAAAUAGUAACAAAAUUAAUAAUAAAACAAUAGUUAUACAAUAUCCAAAUAAUAACAACAAAAUAGUAGCAAUAUAAUUGUGAAAUUGUAGCAAAAUAGUGAAAAACAACAAAAAAAAUAGCAACAAAAUAAUAAUAAAAAAACAGAAAAAAAACUGCAAUUUUUUUUUAUUUUGUAUAUUCGGGUCGGGUUGAGCCGGGCUCAAACCCAAAAAUCCUUACUCGAGGCUCAGCCCGUUUUAAAAUAAAUAUUGUUUAAUUAAUUAAUUAAAAAAUCAAUAGUGUUUAAAAAAUAUCACAAUGAAAUAUUAAAUUUUAUAAGAUUUCAUAAUUCUAAAAAAAUAAAAUAUGAAAAUGUUUAAAAAUUUUAUUAAUUUUUUUAAAAAAAUUAUACAAAAUUUUAAAAAAAUAAACAAAUACUACUAAAAGGUUUUAAAUCAAAAUUAAAUAUAAUGUAAUUAGAAAUUUAUUUUUAAAAUAUUUAUUUUAUUUUUUUAUAAAUACUAUUAAAUGUUUUUAACGGUAACAUAUUUUAAAAAGUAUAAUAAUUUUACAUAAAAAAAUUAUGUUUACUAAUUACAUUUUUUUUAUUUUUUUCCUAACAUAUCAUUAUCUGCAACUUGUCAUAUUAAAGAAUUGAAGAUUUAUUUGAGUAGUUAACUUUUUUACAAAAAGAACUAAUUAAUUUAUUAUUUUUAUAAAUUGUUACACCCCAUACCCGGUCUAGAUGUUAUGGCCGGAUCUUGAGGAAUUACAGAAGUUCAUUUUAAAACUAGAUUUUUAAUUUGAAAUCGUAUAAUAGAAUAAUGUUAACUUUGUAAAAUCGCUUUCUGAUUUUAAGGGAAAUACUCAUUUAAACUAUUUCUUUUAUUGCAGAAAAACACUUCAGUGAUCACUUCAUUUUGCAGCGGAAAUUUUCUAAGUUAUAAAAUAUUGAAAACUGUGGCUUGGUUUGUAAAACAAAUAAUUUUGCAGUUUAAAAAUAUAACAGUUGCAAAAUCCGUUAAAGCAAAUCAAAACAGAAAAUAAAGUCCCAGAAUAAUUUACAGUCCAAAAAAUUCAUAAUAAUUACAUUAACCAUUUUAAUUUAGAGAAUCUAACCCAAGCUCCCACACGUCGUCCAAUAUUAGGUUUCCUAAUCACCUGAGAUGAUAAAAGUAAAGGGUGAGCUAACAAGUUUCAUGUGUAACUCAAUCCAUACAAACAACACAGAUACAGUAACCGAUACGAAUAUAGAUGCAACUACAGAUACUAAUACUGGUUCUAUUUCCAUUCGCUACACACCAUCUUCAUCCAUCCCUACACACGAUUAGGGUAUUAAAUAUCCAUCCAACCCACACACCUAUAAGUGAGCAUAUGUCAUUUUUCAAAAUAGUGCAAUCAAGCUACCAGAAAUAAUGCGGUAAUCCACCAGAAUUAGAUAAGUGUGGUAAAGCCACCAGAAUAGAUAUGUGGUUUAAACUACCAAAUAAGGCAAAUCAUUAAAUUGUCAACACUUCCUCCAUCAUAUCAUUAUCCCACCCCAAUGCACAUGCAAACACUAAUUAGAUAAUAGAUACAUAUAAAUUGCACUAACAAAAGUAAAAUAUUAGAUUUCAUAUCUAUAAGUCAUACAUAACACAUUACGGAACCUAAGAAAUGGCAAACCUCGAAUCGUACUUCAAAUACGGCCCUAACUAAAUUUUACAAAAAAUGGGCUCACACGCCUGUGUGGCCCACAUGAUCUGGCACACGGCCUCACACAUGCUCAUGUGGCCCACGGCCCACUUAACUUAGCCCGUGUGGCUUAUACAGUUUGGCACACGGUAGUGUGGCGUCGACAGUGAAUUUUUUGGCUUCGAGAUUAUCGUUACACACCUAGUCGUUUUUCGAUACUAACACCACUACAAGGAUUCUAGAACCUAAAACAACAUUUAACACGAACAAUUUAGAAACUAUACACUAAAUAUAAGCCACUAAUUCAGCCACAACCACUAACAUUAGGCUUUAACAAGCCAAAAAUUAGUCUUUCGGACAUUUGGUUACUUACCCAGAACAAUAGCGACAGUCCUAAAAAUCUCCUAAUUCACUGAAAAGACGUCACACGCCUCACAAACUUCUCCUAUUGAAACAUAACAUGUCAUACGGAAACGAAUUAACCUUACUACUGAAGAACACACUUACGAGACUUGCACUUGAACAAAAAUACGAAUUCCUUGCUCGAACAUAGCACCACGAUGAUUACACGUCAGAAAAUCAAUACCAAAAUGAUUUAAACACAGGACCUCUAAGUAAGCUGAAGUCUUACCACUGAACCAACAAGCUCAUUUUUAUCAUUAAUUGAGCAAAAAUAAUAUAUAAGCUUAAUAUCCAAAUCAAGGGUUGGGUCAAAAAUUUUUUUAAAAAAAUUAAACAAAAGAAUUUGAAGGCCAUUUUACCAAAAUAGUCCAAAAAAAUAUUAUAUUUACAAAAAUAACUCAGGUUUAAAAACAAUCACCAAAAUAACCUAAAAUGAACAGUACCCACUCGUUUUUUGCACCCAUGAUUGCCUAAUAAUUGUGUCAGAAUUAAAAAAAUUAAUUUUUUUGGGUUUUGGCCUGUCAACGGCCGGAACCCAUGUAUUUUUUUAAAUUGUAUAAUAUUGAUAUACGAAAAAAGGAAAAAAAGAAAAACGAAAAAAAAAAUUUUGGGUGCUGGCCUAUCAAUGACCAGCACCCAGUACAUAUUUUUUAAAAAAAAUUCUUUUUUUUCGCAUCAGAAUCAGAUAACAGAUAUCAGAUAUCAGUACAAUUUAAAAAAGAAUUCUUUUUUUUGUGUCAAAAUCAGAUAUCAAUAUACGAAAAAAAUUAAAAAACAAAUUUUUUUGGGUGUCGGCCAUUGAAUAGCCGGCACCUAGUACAAAUUUAAAAAAAAAAAUCUUUUUUUUUUCGUGUCAAAAUCAGAUAUCAAUAUACGAAAAAAAUUUAAAAAAAAAUUUAGGUGCAGGCCUGUCAAUGGCCGGCACCCAGUACAAUUUAAAAAAAUUUCUUUUUUUUUUCGUGUCAGAAUCAGAUAUUAGUAUACGAAAAAAGUAAAAAAAAAAUUUGAGUGUUGGCUAGUCAAUGGCACGAAAAAAAAUUUGAUAUUUGAUUCUGACACAAAAAAAAAAGAAAUUUUUUUUUAAAAAUUGUACUGGGUGUCGGCCAUUGACAGGCUAACACCCAAAAAAAAAAUUUAAUUUUUUUUUGUAUAUUGAUAUCUGAUUUUACCACGAAAAAAAAAAGAAAUUUUUUUUUUAAAAUUGUACUGGGUGCUGGCCAUUGACAGGCCAGCAUUCAAUUUUUUUUUUUUGUAUACUGAUAUCUGAUUCUGACACGAAAAAAAAGAAAAAAAUAAUUUUAAUUGUACUGGGUGCCGACCAUUGAGAGGCCAACACCCAAAAUUUUUUUUUAAUUUUAUUCGUAUAUUGAUAUCUGAUUUUGACAUGAAAAAAAAAUUUAAAAUUGUACUGGGUGCCGGCCAUUGAAAGGCCAGCAUCCAAUUUUUUUUUAAAUUUUUUUCGUAUAUUGAUAUCUGAAUCUGAUUUUGACACGAAAAAAAAAUUAAAAAAUUAUACUGGGUGCCGGCUAUUGACAUGCCAACACCCAAAUUUUUUUUUAUUUUUUCGUACACUGAUAUCUGAUUCUGAAACAAAAAAAAUUUUAAAAUUUGUACUGGGUGCCGGCCAUUGAUAGGCCAACACCCAAAAAUUAUUUUUUUUCGUUUUUCGUAUAUUGAUAUCUGAUUCUGACACGAAAAAUAUAAUUUUUUUUUGUACAUUCCGGCACCCAAAAUUUUUUUUUCCUUUUUCGUAUAUCAGUAUUAUAAAAUUUAAAAAAAUACAUGGGUUCCGGCCAUUGACAGGUCAAAACCCAAAAAAUUAAUUUUUUUAAGCCUGACACAAUUAUUAAGCAAUCAUGGGUGCAAAAAACGAGUUGGUACUGUUUAUUUUAGGUUAUUUUGGUGAUUGUUUUUAAAUCUGGGUUAUUUUUAUAAAUAUAAUAUUUUUUUAGACUAUUUUGGUAAAAUAGCCGAAUUUGAACCUAGAACCUCAUACACACUAACACAACACAUAGCCACUAAACUAGAUUAAUCACUUUGAUAAUUUUUAACAAUUCAAAAAUAAAAAUUUUGGGGCGUUACAAUAAUAAUAUGGUUUAAAUUAUUUUUUACAUCAUUCAUAAAAAUUAUAACAAACUUACAAAAAGAUUUAAUGAUAUUUAAUUAUUAACGGGUAAAAAAAUUAUAUCAUAUAUCAUAUAUAUUCUAUAUUUAUUAUAAUAGUUUCAUCUUUCAAAUUUUCUUCCUCAUAAUUAAAGCAUAAGUUAUAUUUAUAAUAUUAUAAAAUAUUAUAUUUAAAAAAUUUACACACACAAUCAACCUAUGCAUAGCACGAGAUAAGAAAACUAGUUUAUCAAUAUGAACGAGUUUACAUAAACUUUAAUAUACAAAAUUCGAGCUAAAUCUAGCUUCAAUUUUUUGGUCAACUUCUUUUGACUUUAAAUCUUACUUCUUCUUCUUCUUUUGGCAUAACGACUUAUUUGGCACAAAAACAAAAGUCAUUUUAGCUUUUUAUGUAUUUUUUCACCAUUUUUAACCUUUAAACUUACAUUUUUUGUCAAAUCGCUCCAAAAUGAAUCGGUAUGUUAAUGUUUUUUAACUUUGCUAAUGUUGCAUACAUAUGGAUUGCUAUGUGGAUGACACAUCAACAUUUAAUUAAUUUUAAAAAAUAUAAAAAAACUAUUUUUAAAAAUUAAAAUCAUUAAAAUUAUCAAAUAAAUAUAAAUAUUUUUAAAAAUUAAUUAAAUGUUGAUGUGUCAUCUACGUGGCUAUCCAUACGUAUGUCAUGUCAGUAAAGUUAACAAAUAUUAAUAUUUUCAUCCAUUUUGGAAUAAUUUGACAAAGAAAUAGAAGUUCAAAAACUAAAAAAGAAAAAAUUAAAUAUAAGACCAAAAUAUAUAUUUUUAAAUUGAAGGACCAAAUAAAUGAUUAUGUAAAGUUGUGAAUAUUAAUCUUACCAUAACAAUCAUAAUUCGCUUAUGCUUUAUUCAUUUUUAGGGUUUUCCUUACUAGGAGUCUAGGAUACUUGAAGGCAGAUAUUAUUAUUAUAAAUAUUAUUAUAUAUUAAAUUAAUUUUUAUGUUUAAUAAUUAAAUUUAAACAUAUUUUUUUAAUUAAGGAACAAUAAUUUGGUCCGGAUGCGUCCUUGGACAGUUUUGUAAUUUCCCAAGUUAUUAACUUUUGUUUAGGGUUUAUCAUAGUUAGGAAUUAAUUGGCCUAAUUUCUCAACUUAGAUUUGAUGAUACGAUUAAAAAAUAGGAAAUAUCAAAAUCUGAUAAUAUGAAUUAUUUGUUGACACCUUUUUUUUGAUAAAACGGGGUCGACUUGGAUUUUGAAAACGAAAACGAAAAUGGGAGUCGCCACCAAUCCUUUUUGAUGAGGUGUAAUCGGAUCACCUUGAAAAGUGGUUGUUUUUAAUAAACGAUUUGAUUUUGUUAAAACAACAAUUUUGGUCCACGAAAUUCAGAAAAUCAGGUUCGGGAGUCGAUUACGUACGAGGAAGGAUUAGCACCCUCGUAACGCCCAAAAUUGGUACCUAGUUGAUUAAUUAGUGUCAUAGUGUCGAGAAUUGGAAACUUUGAAGAGAUUCAAAAUACGAUCCUUGAUUUUAAAAAACUUAUAUAAAAUAAGUUACUCGUUAAGACCCUCUCAUUUCGGAAAGAGAAAAUGUCACACCCAAUGAGUUAGGGCAUAAUAUUUCACUUCCUCAAAAAUGAGCUUAUCCAAAAAAAAAACUCGUGCAAUAAAAUUUAAAAGGAUAUUCAAUUGUUUAAGUCAGAUGAGGAAAUCGCAGCCCAAUACGUUAGGGCACAAUUUCUCAAAAUUCUAAACAUUGAAUAUUACCUUUAUUAUUUUUAGGAAAAUCCUCAUCUCGAGAAAACAACGUGUCAUAUCCAAUGCGUUAGGACACAACGUAUUGAAUUCCCGGUAAUGAGCUUUUUAUUCAUGUGUUUUUUUUAUUAAAGAGCAUUCUCGACUAUUUAGAUUAAACGAAAGAAAUUGGAACCCAAUACGUUAGGGCUCAAUCCUCUCGAAGAUCCCAAAUACCGAGUAUUGCCUUUAUUUUCAAAAUUUCCUCUUUUUACAAAUUCGGGUAAAAAUUGAUGUAAUAUUAAAUUUGAUAUAUGAAUAACAGCCGCAUUAAUAAAUGACAAUAAUGAAUAUGACGAUGUAGCAUAAAUAAUACAAGCAAUAGUAACGAAAAUAAAUUAGAUAAAAAUGAGAAAUCGAUGACAUACAAAAUAACAAGUAUAUAAGCAAAUAAAAUUAAAACAUUCUUUUAAAAUAACAAUGAAAAUGUAAAUAAAUAAGUAAAUAAAGAAAAUGAAUAAAAUUAUAAAAAAAUUUAAAAAGAUAUAUAUGUAUGUAUAUUAAAAUAUAUGUAUAUGUAUUUACAAAAUAUAAAAAAAUGUAUAAGUACAUAUAUAUAGGUAAAGUAUGAAAAUAUGUGUAUAUAUGUACAUAAAUUAAAAUGCGUAUAUAUAUAGGUAUAUAUAUAUAUAAAUGAAAUAUGUAAGACUAUACUUAUAAUGAUUUAAAAAUGUACAUAUAUAUAUUAUAGGGACUGUAUGUAUACAUAUGUAGGGAUUAUAAAAUGUAUAUGCCUAUAUAUAUAUUAGAAAUAUGCAUGCCUAUAUAUAUAUAACAAGAUUUUGGAAUAAAAAAAAAAGGUGUAACCGAAUAAAUAAUAAUAAUAAGUAAUAAUAUAAUAAUAUUAAUAGUAUUAAAUAAUUACUUUUAAUAGAAAAAUAACUAAAAUAGCAUAUUGAGGAUUAAAUUGAAAAUAAACGGAGUUUUAGGGCUGGAUUUAAAAAUGGAAAACACAAAGGGGACCGAUUUAUAACACACGCGAAGUCCAGAGGAUUGAUUUGGAAAAUAUCCCAAGCCCUACGCGUAGCGUUUUGAUGCGGACUGAAAUGAAACAUAAGAGAAAUUAUGCAGCCGAAUUAAAAAAACAAAAUGGGACCAAAUUGCACUAGGCUGCGAAAGAGGACGGACCUCUAGCGAAAUAUCCCCCUUCACUGCAGAAACACGAGGAUCCUGAGGGCGGACGGGUCGAGUCACGGGUCAGGGCCAAAACGACGUUGUUUUGGCACCUGAUCCCUAGUUGCAAAACGGGGCCAUUUUAUUUAGGGUAUUUAAGUAAAAAAAAUUGAAAAAUCAAUACAGCCACCAUUUAAAAAAAAUUCAAAACCCCUCCCCUUUUAUCUCAAGAUCCGGCUCUCAGUCCCCUCGGCCUCCGUCGCCCCGCCUUUCUGCUCGCCGCACCGCCACCGUAUUCGACGACCGACGAAGCGCAAGAACGGGCGUUCGAAGCCUUGCCCCGGUGAGUUUCCCCUUUCCUUCUUUUUUUUUAUUUACCAUAUAUAAAAAGAAUUAAAAAUAGAAUAAAAAAUAGGGAUACACUAUCAAAAUAUGGAUCUUGUUCCAAAAUCAAACAAUCACCUUGAGAUUGUUGUGUUUCUUUUUAUUCUUUGUGUCUUUUUGAUUUUCUGAAAUGUUCAAAAGAAAAGAAAAAAAAAACCCUUACAAUCGGUUUUAGAUUGCUUUUAUAGUCAUUUACAACACUUUUUUUUAUCUAUUUUUCUAAUGUUUCUCUUGCGUGCAUGUUCUUCUUUGUAGGGAGUGGUUGGCGCGACAGGGAGGAGCGGUGGUGGUAGCUGAGGCUAGGGAUAGGGUGAGGUGGCUUCUGAAACCCUAGUUUGACUAUUGGGUCAGUGGGUUUUGGGUUGUAAUGGGCUAGUAUUUUGGGUUUAAGUUUGGGUUUCAAUUGGGCUAGGGUGUUUUGGGUUAAAUUUCUUGGACUGUUAAUUUUUUAAUUUGUUUGGGUUUUAUUUGUCUGGGCCCGGGUAAAAAUGGGCUUGUACAUUCUUAAUACUAGUUUUUUUUAUAUGAGUAAAUAGAUAAUUACUUGAACCAAUUUAAUAAAAAUUAAUAUAUUAAAAAAUAUAAUGUCAUCAUUUUAAUAGUUUAUAUCUUUAUAAAUUUUAAAUGAUUAAAUUAAAUUUUUAUUAUUUGAGAGGUUAAAGUACACUUUUACUAUUACUAAUUUAAAAUUUUAUAAAUUAUAAAGGAGACUAAAUAAAAAAAAAUCCAUUUUAGGGAGGCCGGAAAACCUUGCCAGCCUCCCUGACUUCACCAUUAAAAUCUAGAAUAUGCUCCUCACUAUGCGUCGGAAAAUUAAAGAUUUAAAAUUAUAUUAUCGUGUAAUAGAUAUAAUGAUUUUAAUUUUUUAAAUAAAUAAAUAAAGUUAAAGUUAAAAUCAAAUCAAUGUGAUCAAUUGUACUAAAUAUAGAUGAUUUAAGACAUGAUGCAAAUAAAGCAUAGUAAAAUAAUUAAUAUAUAGCAUGCCAUGAUAACAAAUGCGAAUUUAGAGAGGCAGACAAGGGUUCUUUUACUAUUUAGGUUUUUAAGUUUUUUUAAAAUUUUAAAUUAGUAAAUGUAAAAUUGUACUUUGCCCCUUCAAGUUAUAAAAAUUUGAUUUAAUCUUUUAAAAAUCUGGCUUCGCCCCUGCAUGAUAAUAAUAUUAAUACAACACAAAUACACAAAAAAAUCAAAUUUUAUACAUAAUAAUUAUUUACUUGUAUAAUUUUGUAAUAUUUUGAAUACAAAGAAAUAACACAAACAAUUUUCUCUAAAUUGAAUCACUCAAAUAAAAUAUUUUAAAUAUCUCAUAAUUUUAAAAUGUAGUAUAAGGAUAAUUUUAAAAAAUAAUUUAUUAUGAUAAAUUAUAUAAAUUAAAUAAAGAAACAAUACUAACCCAAUAUAAAAGAAAUGUAAUAAUAAUAUCAUAAACAAUUUUUAGUUAAUUAAACAUUGGAUAGCUUCGCUGGAUCAUGUCCUGGCUUCCUCAUGUAUAAGAAAAAGCCUCACAUUGAGGGGCCAGUAGACGUUUGGCCUUCAAACGAUUGACUAAUUUUUGUCUUUUAAUUAGAAUUUGGCACGUUGAUGAUGGGAGGAAAGAAAGGAAAGCGUGAAAUAGAUUUCAUCGUGGUCUGGGUCAUUCGUCCAGAUUCGAAGGUCUACUUAAAAAGUGAGAAAGUUUAAGUAAAAAUAUAGGCUCGAAAAAUAGAUUUCGGCAAAAAAUAAUACUCGUUUUCUAAACGGGUCAAGCCUCGGAUAAGAUCUUUUGAUCUGGCCUGGCCUGAAUUUGCCUAAAAAAAUUUUCACUACUGUUUAGUGUUGGUUUGUUGUUGUUUGCAGCCAUUUUGAUGUUGUUUUGUUAUCAUAUUGCUACUAUAUUACUACUAUUUUGUUGUUAUUGUUUGGAUAUUAUAUAUCUCUUGUUUUAUUAUUAAUUUUGCUACUAUUUUAGAGGCAUUUGCUUGUUAAAUUGCACUAUCUUAGUGUUAUUUAAGUAUAAAGACUUUUUUUAAUGUAUUUUCAAUUUAUUGGGAAACGUUUAUUUUAAUGUUUUUAGUGUAUUUGAUGUAUUAUAUUUUGGGUAGACUACCAAAAUAGUCACUUUUGUUUACCUCGGGUUACAUUUUAGUCACUUAUGUUUGAAAUGUUAGGUUUUAGUCACUUACAUUAUCGUUUUGUUACGAAAUGGUUGUUACUCUAUCAUUAAGAUUUGUUACUAGUUCGUGAUAGAAUGUGCAAGUGUACACAGUCGUUAUCAAGUAAUAAGUAAGUAAAAAGAGUUAUUGUCUCCACAGGGACUGUGUUUAAAUUGAUAAUUGUAAAAUUACUAUUCACAAGUUGGUUAAAAAAACACAAUAUUUUCAAGGUGAUUGAUGUUAGAAUUAAAUUAAUGCAAAUGAAUUAACCUAAAUGCAAUGCAAUGAAAUAAGAUGCAAUGAGAUGGUUUAGCAACAAUUUCAUAAGUUUUAACAAAAAUAACACGAAUGAGCUAGAACAACUACAACACUUGACUCAAUUAGUAUGAUGAUAAUCAGUAUGUUUUUUUCACCUUCAUGUUGGAAAUUCGUCAUGCGUAAUUAUACACGUAGACCUUUAAAUUCAAUAAUGUGUGAUUGUCAUGUGUGGUUGUCAUGUGUGGAUUUUAAUUUACACUAUAGCAAAACAGGUUUUUAGCGGCGUUUAUAGCGGCGUUUGAACGAAAAGCGCCGCAAAAAAUCGAGCAUUAGUGGCAAAUUCUAACAAAUGCCACAAUAUGUAAGCAAUAGCGGUGCUUUUACUAAAACGCCGCAAAUGAUCAAGCAUUAGGGGUGCUUAUAGAAAAACGCCGCAAAAAACUUGGGAAAAACAACGCCGUUUGCUUUUUCCAUUAGCGGCGAUAAUUAACAAACGCCGUAAAAAAUCUAGAAUUAGCGACACUCUUUUACAAACGCCGCAAAAGAUCGAGAAUUAGUGGCGUAUUCUGUAAAACGCCGCUAAAGGUCAAACAUUAGCGGCGCUUUACGAAAAACGCCGUAAAAAAUUUGAGAAAACGACAUCGUUUUGUAUUUUGAGAUUUAAUGGUAUUAGCGGCGCAUUUUAACAAAUACCACAACAGAUCGAGAAUUAGCAACGGUUUUUAUGAAACGCCGCUAAAAAUGAGCAAAACGAUUUCGUUUUUUUGUUUAGCAUUAGCGGUGUUUUUUAAGAAACGCUGCAAAAAAUAGUUUUAUUUUACACUUUUUGGUUUAGGGUUUAUGGUUUUAAGGUUUAAAGUUUAAGGUUUAGGGUUAGUAUUUAAGGUUUAGGGCUUAGGGUUUAUGGUAUAAUGUUUAUUAUUUUCGGAUUAGAAUUUUGAGUUUUGCGUUUAUGGUUUAGAGUUUGUGGUUUGGAGUUUAAGGUUUAGGGUUUAGUAUUUAAGAUUCUUUUUUAAUUACUUUUGUCCCCUAUAAUAUCUAUAUUUAGGGUUUAGGGUGUAUGAUCAUGGUUUAGGGUUUAAGGUUUAUGGUUUAAGAUUUUAAGGUUUAGAGUUUAGUUAAUACGGGAGAGGUUUAUGGUUUUGGAUUUAAGGUUUAGGGUAAUUUAAGAAUUAUGGUUUAGGUGUUUAGGGUAUAGGGAUUAGGGUUUAAAUUUUAUGGUCUAGGGGUUUUAGGAUUUAGGGGUUUUUGGGUGUUUAGGAUCUUGGGUUUAGGGUUUUUUGUCUAAUUAUGAAUUUCAUCCUUCUAUCUUAUAAAAAAAAAGUUAAGCUUUUUUCUUUAAUUCAUUAGAAUUUAAUCUUUGUACUUUAAAAAAAACUAAUUUUAAAAUAAUUAAUAGAAUUAUUAAAAUUUUAAGAUACCCAAAUUAAAUUAUUUUUUAAUAGUAGAGGAAGAAUUGUCUUCCAUCAUUGUAUUCAAUUUUAAAAUUGAACAAUUAAAUAAUGUCAUAUUAAAAAUUUUAAAAAUUUAACAAUUAAAAAUAAUGUCAUAUAUAUUAGUGUAUCAAAUUUUAAUUUUAUAAAAUCGUUAAAUAUUUUUCAAAUAUUUAACGGUCGUGGCGUUUGGACCAAAAACGCACUACACCAAAACAGACUUUUAGCGGCGCUUUUUUAGGCCUUUAGUGGCGCUUUUUAGCACCGUCGCUAGACCAAGACCAUUAGCGGCGCUUCUUUCACAAACACCGUUAAAGACCAUGACCUUUAGCGGUGCUUUUCCCACAAACGCCGCUAAAGACCAAGACCAUUAGCAGCGCUUCUCGCAAAAAUGCCGCUAAAAACAUAACCUUUAAAAAAUUUAUUUUAAUCAAAUUAUAUUUAUUUUUAUGAUAAAUAUUAUAUUUUGUUUUAUUUUAUUUUCUAAAUUUGAACUUUAAAUAUACUUUUAAGGAUAAAUAAAAAAUAUUAUUUAAAUUAAAUUUUCUAUGAAAAUUUUAACUUUAAAACUAAAUAUAAAAAUUAAUGAAUUUAGUUUUAGAAUUUAAAAUAAUAAAUUAAUAACACAAUUAAAAUCCAAAAGUUAGAACUCUUAAGGAAAAAUAAAAAUUUAGAAUCAAAACUAAAAUAAAUAAUACAUAUGCAAGGUAAUAAAACAUACAAUGCAUUUUCUUAAUCAAGUAAAUCUUGGUAAUAAAAUAUAUAAUACAUUUAUUUAAUCAAGGAUCUCUUGUAAUGAACUCAAAGCAAUGAGCGUGAAACUGAAAGCAGCAGAAUCGUAAUGAACUCAAAGCAAUGAGCAUCAGAAUUGAGAAGAAAAAAAGAAUCACGAUACGCAAACGAGAUCCAGAACUUCUGUUCCUUUGGACGCCCACACUGGAUAGUCCCCGCUUCAACGCCAUUGGCUAUCAGAGCCUAAUAACAACAAUAGCAGCAGCAAAAUCACUCAUCAAAAGGUGGAAAAAGGAUAAUUACAAGUUAACAGUGAGGAGAUCGCAUGAAACUGAAAGCAGCAGAUCCGUAUCGAAGCUAGUUGGAAUGGAAAUCCAUGGGAAAGCAAGCAUAGAUUAAAACUUCAUAGAACUUUCUCUAAAAACUUCAUAGUAAACUGCUUCAGUCUACUUUUUAUUUUACUUGUACAACAAUUACAUGAUAUGCCAAAAUAAAAAAUAUGGGUCUGCGCCACAGAAUCCAUAAAAAACUUCAUAGAACUUUCUCUAAACUUUUACUUGCCAAUGUUGUCAACCUUUUUUCAGGAAUUUGGAGCAUGCAGAAACCAUAUAAUUUAGCUAUCCCAUUUUACAGUGAAAGCUAGGAACACACAAGAAACAGAUGAAAAAGGAUAAAUCUAAUACCCGUAAAGCAUCAGUAACUUGGCGUCCUUGUAGCCCAUCUUUUUGCAGAGACCAUCUAUUCUCAGCAUUUUUCUUCUUUGAAAAACCCGUAAAAUAUGGGUUUUGGUGUUAAAUAAUGCAACUGCCAUCAACAUCAAGGUCGAAAUCAUAGCUUAUUCUUCCAUGUUAAGAAAAGUAUGCUAAAAAAUGAGGGUUAGAAAAUAAAAUAAUGCCUGGUUUGAAACAUACACCAUUGAUGUAAGAAUAGGGUUAGAACUCUAUGAACAUUAAGCAAAAUAGCCAAUUUAAAUUCACUUAACAACAUUAAGAAAAAUGAUACAAAUGCAAAAAAGAAAAAAAUAAUAAAUAUAUACAAGACAAACAAAAGAAGAGAAGAUUAGUACUAAACCAAUGUUCCCUUACCGAGAAGACAUGAUUUCUAAUCAAUGAAUUAGUGCCACAAAAUAAACAAAAAGAUCAGCGGCACAGGCACAGAACUUGCGCAUUUUUUAACUGCAAUUAAAUCCAGUUCCAUUUUGCAUAUAUAAAAAGAAAAUAUAAGCUCAAUGUGCCAAAAAAACUAAUAAAAUUUGAGCUCAACUUAACAAAAAUCAAAGUGCAGCCAAACAAUGACUCUAGUUCUGACCUUAAUAAUGGCCAACUAACUAAAACUUCCUUCAUACCAAACAAAGACAGUAUAUCGAUAUUCUUCAUACCAAACAAAGACAGUAUAUCGAUAAGCUUAGUGCUAAAGGCCCGAGCAUUAGCGGCGCUUAGCAUUAGCGGCGCUUCUUCAAAAACGCCGCUAAAAGCCCCAAAAACUCAGAAAACGGUGUCGUUGGGCUUUGGCUUUUUGCAGCGCUUUUUAGAAAACGCCGCUAAUGCUUAUUUUUAGCGGUAUUUUCUGAAAAGCAUCGCUAAUGCUCUACCUUUAGCGGCGUUUUUAUAAAAGUGCCGCUAAUGCUUGAUUUUUAGUGACGUUUUUUGCCCAAACGCCGCUAAAAGCUUGUUUUUGUGUAGUGAUGCCACAACAAUGUCUUAAAAAUUAUACAAAACGGGGCCGUUUGGUUACAAGAAUUUAAUUUUUAGUGGUGUUUUUCUCCACAACGCCGCAAAAGGUAUGCAAUAGCGGCGUUUGUUAUAAAAAUGCCACAACAAUGUAUUAAAAAGUGCACAAAAACUGCGUCGUUUGCUAACAGGAUUUUAACUUUUUAGUGGCGUUUUUCUCAGAAUCACCGCAAAAGGUAAGCAUUAGCGGCGUUUUGUCUAAAAACGCCGCAACAAUGUAUUAAAAAUUGUUCAGAACGGUGCCAUUUCGUUUCAGAAAAUUAAAAAUUGCUCAGAACGUCGUCGUUUUCUUCCACAUAACAAUUUUCUUCCCCUUUCCCGCACCCAGCCCCUAAUUCCCCUUCCAAAUCCCUAAUUCCCCUUCGAAAUCUCUUCCAAAUCCCUAAUUCCACUCAUUCACAGAGACGAACCUGCAGAACUAGCAUUGGUUUUAUUUUUGUUUCUUCGAUUCUUCAUUUCGUUUUUUACUUAUUGGGAGCAUCUAUUUCGAUUUCUUCACAACAUUUAGACGAAGACAGAGUAAACGACAUUCUAUUUUUUGGGUAAGCUUGAACCAGUUUCAUUUCCUUUUUUUACGUGUUUAGGGUUUGGGUUAUUCUUGUUUGUGUGAAUUUUUUGUUUUUUUCAAAGUUAUUGACCCUGAAAUCCAGUUAAUUUGUCUUUGGUUUUAGGGUUUCCGAUCUGUAAAAACGUUCGCAUUUCACACUUUUACUCGUGGAAUUUGUUCUGAAGUGAUUUAAUUUCUUUUCAUCUUCCUAAAGGUAUUUUUUUCUUCUCUCUUAAUUCUAGUUUUAGCAAUUUAGUCUAUUUAGGGUUUAAACCAUUUACUGUUACAUUUUGACAAUAAAAUGCAUGCUUUCGAGUGCCUGAAUUUAUUUUGUAUUGAAAUAUAUUUUAAAAUAUAUCAUUAGUGCAUUAUUGGUUGCUUUCUCAUGCAGAUUUAGCAAUUUAGUCAGGCAGAGGCAGAGUAGUAGUUUUUUCUUUCCAUUUUGAUUGUAGCAAUUUAGUCGGCAAAUUUGGUAGCUCUCACUGGUUUGAAGCAAUACACAGAAAGUCUAGAUAACCAGAAGGUUAGUUAAUCCUUUAUUUUCUUUUUUUUUCAUUUUUUAAAUUUACGUUUGAAUUUGGUAUAUUUUUAGUUGGGACUGUUUUAUUUAGGAAUUUGGUUAAUGUUGCUGCAAGUUCUUUUUUGCUGCAAGUUCUUUUUUGCUCCAUUUUCUACUAAGUGUUGUAUGUUAAGAUCGGUUAUGGAAUAUAUUUGCAAUUAUCAUACAGUAUUUUGGUUUUUAAAAAUCCAAAUUGAAAUCAAAUUGAACCGAACCUUUCACUGGUUUGAAUCGGUUUGGUUCAUCAAUAAAUACAUAAUUUCUUUAAAACUUUUUUUUAUAUUAAAGUUACUUUCACUCGUUUAAAUAUGAAGUUUUUAUUUUCCCACUGUGAAAGUUUUUAAUUUUUAAUUUUUGUUUGGAUAAUUUUGGUUUAUCAACUUGUGAAAUGAAUUGAUUAAACGUUUUUAUGAAUCGAAUUUGUUUCAAGUUCAGAUUUGAUUUGGGUUUGUUGUAAUUAUAUAUUUUCAAAUGAAUAAAUAAUGCAUAAGUUUACAAAACAUAAUGUGUUAUUGCUCACGAAAACCUAAAAGAUUAUGUCCGAAUAAAGACAAAACUGCAGCUAUAGUCCAUCAACAUCAAAUUUGUGGAAGGACUUAAAAGGAUUAUGCUUAAUGAAAAUGGUUGCUAUAAAAAUUAUUUUUUUGAAUAAUUAUGAGUAAAUUUUUUAAAAAAUCGAUCUACUCUAAAUUUAGUGUAUGGCAUAUUUUGUAAAGAUAUACGAUAAAUACACUUGUCAAUUUUUUUAAUUUCCAUUUUAAAAUUGCCGCAAAAACAACUCUUUUUUAUUAGGAUUUAAUUAAAUUGAUUUCAAUCGGCAAAGUAUGAUGAAAUUCUUACUAUCAUUAAAAAAAUAGGUAAAUGUUAUGUUGUUGAGAUGUUUUAGGUUGGUUAAUAUUGGUUACGAUACUUUAAUCACCUCCAAUAUAUAUAAAAAAAAAUUAAAAAUUUGAGAAUUUAUGAAAUGAUAUAAUGUUAAUUCGUUAGCAUUAAAUAUUCUUAUUAUGUUACAAGUCAAUUAAAUUGAUGUCUUGAGCUUUGAUUUAAAUUAAAAAAGAAUAAAUUUAAACAUUAGAACGGAAAUAUCUAUAUUAUAAUAUUUGUAUCUAUAUACUAUUAUUUUAGUGUUUUAUUGAGUUGAUGUUAAUAUUUAAUAUUUUUAAAUGUUUUUAAAACUUAAAAAAUAUAUAUCAUAGCUUACAUAACUUACAUAACUCGCAUAACUUAUAUAUAUCAUACCAUAACUUAAAUAACUCACAUAACUUACAUAACUUAAUAACUUAUAUAUAUUGUCGAAACCAUUUUUAUAAAAUUUGAAAAACGGGGAUCGACUUCGAAAAUAAAAUGGGAGUCGCCACCGAUCUUUUAUUAAGGUGUGACCGGUUCACCGUUAAAAUGAUUUUGGUCUGCGAAAUUUUGAGAAAAUAAUUUCGGGAGUCGGUUACGUACGAGGAAGGGUUAGCACCCUCGUAACGCCCAAAAUUGGUACCAAAUUGAUUGUUUAAUGUCUUAAUGUCGAAAUUUUGAAAAAAUUUUGAAAUACAAUCCUCUGAAGUUUAAAUUUGAAUAAACCAAAUUGCAUAAUAAGACGCACUUAUUUCGAAGAAAUAAAUUGCCACACUCAGUGAGUUAGGGUGCAACAGUUCAAUCUUUAAAGUUAGAUUUGUCCUUUUAGAUUUUAAAAAUUCACGUGUUUUGAGAAGGAUAUUUGGUUAGUUGGGUCAAUCGAGAAAUUGGAAUCCAAUAAGUUAGGGUUCAAUUUCUCGAGAUUCCUAAACACCAAAUAUUGCCUUUAUUUUAAAAUCGAGAGAACAAGAUGUCAUAUCCAGUAAGUUAGGACCCAACAUCUUGAAAUCUCACAUGCUUUAUUUUGAAAUUGUAUGGUUUUAACAAAAUAAGCACUUGGCUAUCUAAAUUCAUCGAGAAGAGUUGAAGCCCAGUAAGUUAGGGCACAACUCACUCGAGAACCAUGAACACUAGGCCUUUUCUGAAAAUUAUGAAAUAAAAUGAUUGUGGUGCUUUGAUAAAAUACAAUUUUUACAAAUGAGACAUGAUUGAAUAGUAAUACAUAAUAUAAAAGAUAAAAGAUAAAUAGCAACACAAACCUACACUAAGACGUAACAAGUAGGUGAUAGAUAAAUACAAAUAGCAAUAAUGAUUUUAGUCAUAUUAUACUAAUACCAACAUCAAUGUUCGAAAGCUAAACAAAUCUAUCAUCAAUUUUAAGAAUACACCAAGAUAAUAAAAAAAUGAAAAAAAUAUCCUACGUAUAAAAGUUUUAAAAUAAAUUGCAUGCAUGAACUCAAAAUAAACUUGAAAUAAAAUAAUAACAACCUUGAAAAAUAGUAUAUAAAAAAAAUUAUAUAAACAUUUAGCAUAUAGAUAUACAAAAAUGAAUUUUAAGAUAUAACCUAAACAAAACAUUAAAAUGUAUACAAAUUAUACCAAAUUCUUAUAAAAAUAUACAUAUUAAUAAAUAAUGAAUCAAAUAAUAACAUGUCAAGUUUGAAGAUAAAAAUAUAUAAUAGAUAUUAAAAAAAUAAUAUAUGAUAAAUUUAAAACAUAUCAAUAAUAAUUUAAAAUAAUAGUAUAUUACAUUUUAAAAUUAUACUAAUAAUAAGUUUAAAAGUAAUGUCAAACUAAAUAUUAAAAUAUGCUAUAAAUAAAUAUAUUAAAAUAAGUACUAAAUUCGAUUUAAAAUUAUACUAUUAAAAUCAAGUUAAAGUUAAGACAUAAUUUAAAUAUAAAGAAAUAAUAAUAAUAAUAAUAAUAAUAGGAUUAAAAAUGAUAUUGGAAUUCAAAUAAAAAUAAAAAUAAAACACUACAAAUAGAAAUAAAAAAGAAAAAAUAAAGAUAAACUAAAUUGGUAAUCGACGUAAAAAAUGAGGGACUAAAAUUGUAAUUAAACGCAUGACCUGGGCAUUCAAUCCUAAUAAUGAAAACGACACCGCAUAACUAUGGAUCAAAUUGAAAACAAAAUAAAAUACACGAUUCAAAAUAAAAAAAUGAAGAAAAUCAAAUCGAAACAUCACAAAACAAGAGGGACUCAUCGUGCAAAUAGACCAAUGAAUAGAGACGCGCGAAUCCUGCCCCAGGUCGGGUCACCACGUUGGUCUGAGCCUCUAAACGAUGUCGUAUUGUGGCCACUGCACAGGCUCUGAACGACGUCGUUUCUUUCACUACUUAUAAGUAGAACCCUAGAGCAAUCAGCAAUUUAUUUUAUUUAAAAUAAAACCUUAAAGAUUUGAUUGCUGUUUUCAGCGCCGUUCUGUGAUGCAGUCAUUCGAAAAGGAACUUCGAAUCCUUGCUCAACCUCCGAUUGCGACAGAGAGAACCAGGAUCCGGCGGCCAGGUAAGUUCUCUUCUAACUCAUCCUUUUUAAAAAGAAAAGAAAAGAAAAGUAACAUAGAUGGAUCCCCUCGCCGCAUCUGUGGAUCGACUACUCAGGAGAUCCUCAGCCUCGUCCGACCCUGAUUGCGACGGAGCGAACGGAGACCGGGUAAGCCUCUCCUUUCCUUUCUCUCUUCUAUUUUAGUACUAAUCAAUGAACAAAGGAGCAGAGAAAAAAAAGAAAAAGCAAAAAGAUUAACAAUCACCUUUCGAACUUUUCGAUUUCUUCGAAUGAAUUUUUUUUGUAUACAAUAUGCAUGUGUGAUUUUUUUUGUCUCUGUGUCCUUUACAAAGGCCUUGCCUUUUUGUUUUAUAGGCCGAAAGAAAAAAUAAAUAAAAAGAAUCCAUUUUUUCGUUUUCUCUGCUGCGUUUUCUUCCCAUUUGCAGGUAUGGCGUGCGGGGCUGGGGACGUGGCAUGUACGGAGGCGCGCGCGAGGGAAAAGGCUCAGAACGUACGGAGGCUGGUCACGUGCGGACAAAAGGAGCUGCUGCGGCGCUGGGGUUUGCCCUAGGGUUGCUCUGUAUUUUUCUUGUUGGGCCGCUUCGUCAUUGGGCUAGGGUUUUAGAAAUUUAGGUUGGGUCUGGGUUGAAUUUGGGUUGUGAUAUUGGGCUUAGUGGGUCUGAUGUAUUUUGGGUUUGUAAUAUGGACUGAUGGACUUUUAAUAAUUUUGUUUUUAUUUAUAUUUUUUUUAUUUAUUUAUUUCUGAUUUGGACCGGGCAAAUUUGGGUUAUUACAUAUAUCAUACCAUAACUUAAAUAACUCACAUAACUUACUUAACUUAAUAACUUAUAUAUAUCAUACCAUAACUUAAAUAACUCACAUAACUUACUUAACUUAAUAACUUAUAUAUAUCAUACCAUAACUUAAAAUAACUCACAUAACUUAACUUAAUAACUUAUAUAUAUCAUACUAUAAUUUACAUAACUCACAUAACUUACAUAACUUAAUAACUUAUAUAUAUCAUAUCAUAACUUACAUAACUCAGAGAACUUACAUAAGUUACAUAACUUAAUUAUACUUAUAAAUAACCAUGAUUACCCGUGUAAUUUAUUGUCAACUUUAGACUUCAAUAACAACGAAAUGGACUGGUCUUGGAUGAAUUUGUCAAGGGUAAGCAACGACUAUCGAAAUGGAGUACAAAUUUUCCUAAAUUUUGUAUUCCAAAAUACAAGCCAAGAGAAUAUGAUUCUUUGCCCGUGUAAGAAGUGUGGCAACAUCAAUUGGCAUUUUCGUGAAGUUGUCUAUGAGCAUCUAAUUGCCGAUGGGUUUCUUCGGGGGUAUAAAGAAUGGAUUUUCCAUGGAGAAUGCACACCUAGUACUUCCUCUUCAACGAUUAAUCUGGCUCAUCCUCAUAGUGCUUACCAUCGGUCUGUCAGAGAAGAUAACAUGGAAGGUCUGUUUCGAGAUGCAUUUACUAUGCGCAAUCAUGGUUUGCAAUCAUUUUCACCCGACUUUGUUGUAUCCGAUGAUUGUAAUAUCGGUAGAAAUGCUUUUACCCAAACGGAAGAAGUAUACCUAAUGAAUAGCCAAAUGGAGAUGCGGAAAAGUUCUACACGCUGCUUAAUGAAAUGAAUGAAGAACUUUAUGAGGGAUCAAAAUUUUCAAAAAUGUCCUUCUGUAUUUGUCUUUUUCAGUUAAAGUGUUUGGGAGGGUGGACUGGAAACUCUUUGACAAUGCUGUUAAAGUUUUUGAGAGAGAUGUUUCUGUUUGCAAAAACCUCUCAUUCAUGCAAAGAUAUGAAGAAACUGAUAAAAGAUUUAGGCCUUGGGUACAACAAAAUUCAUAGUUGCUCAAAUAACUGCAUGUUGUAUUGGGGUGAUCGGAAAAACCAACAGUGUUGUCAUGUAUGCGGCCAAUCCCAUUGGAUAAAUAGAAACAAAAAAGAUGGGAAUGACGAUGAAAAUGAUGUACAGUAAAGAAAGAAGCUAAUUAAGAUUUUACGAUAUUUUCCGCUACUACUAAGGCUUCAAAGGCUUUUCACGUCGUCGAAGAUAGCCGAGUCUAUGACGUGGCACCAUGAUGGACGAACCAAUGAUGGAUUAUUAAGGAAUCCGGUGGAUUCUUUAGCUUGGAAAUCAUUUGACAGUAAAUUUCCAAGCUUUUCAAGCGAUCCUAGGAGUGUGAGGCUUGGGCUAGCAUCUGAUGGAUUUAAUCCUUACAAAAUCAUGAGCACUGCGUACAGUACUUGGCCUGUAGUGCUUGUUCCUUACAAUUUGCCUCCAUGGAUUUGUAUGAAGCAAUCUUCCUUUUUCUUAUCUAUGAUUAUCCCUGGAAAGAAAGGUCCCGGAAAUGAUAUUGACAUUUAUUUGCAGCCACUUAUUGAAGAGUUAAAAUAAUUAUGGGCUGGUGUUGAGACAUAUGAUGUACUGAGAAAGGAGAACUUUAAUUUACGUGCAGCUUUGAUGUGGACUAUUAAUGACUUCUUAGCUUAUGCCAAUUUAUCUGAUUGGAGUACCAAGGGACGUUAUGCUUGUCCUUGUUGUGCUGCGCAAACAUGUUCGCAAUGGUUAUAUAAUGGGAAGAAGUACUCUUACAUAGGACAUUGUCGGUGGUUACCGGGAAAUCAUAGAUUUAGAUUUUAGAGUACUCUGUUUGACGGUACUGAAAAGUUCAGAGAAGCUCCUUCGCAGACCGAUGGAUCUGAAAUCUUGUUCAUGUUGAAAGAUAUGAAUUUCAGUUAUGGGAAGAUGAAUCAACCACCCAACACGCAAAGAAAUAGAAGAUCAAGAGAUGAAUCUGAUGAUGAAGAGGAUGAAGAGGAUGAUCCUAAUGAGGCGGACUUGUGGAAAAAAAGAAGUAUUUUUUUGAGUUGCCUUAUUGGGAGCAUCACAUUUUACGACACAAUCUUGAUGUCAUGCACAUUAAGAAAAAUGUCUGCGAGAACAUCAUUGGGACAAUUUUGAAUGUCGAUGGAAAAUCGAAAGACAAUCUUCAGAGUCGACUUGAUUUAGUCCACAUGGGAAUUCGGCGUGAUCUUCAUCCCCAAGCACUUCCGAAUGGGAAAUAUCGGUUGUCGCCUUCUGUUUUUUCAAUGUCGAAGACGGAGAAAGAAGCGUUCUGCAUGGUGUUGAAGGAUAUAAAGGUCUCAGAUACGUAUGCAUUAAAUAUAUCUCGAUGUGUGAGUAUUAAAGAUCGAAGACUAUAUGCCUUAAAAUCACAUGACUAUCACAUCUUGAUGCAAGAUUUACUGCCAGUUGCUAUGCGGUGUUGUAUGUCGAAAAAGGUGACGUCUGGUAUAAUUGAACUAUCCAAUAUAAUGAAAGCCAUUUGUGGCAAAGUUUUGGAUGUUCAAGAACUUGAGACACUACAAGAUCGAGCCGCAUUGACUUUAUGCAAUUUGGAGAAGAUCUUCCCACCUUCUUUCUUCACUAUAAUGGUGCACUUGCUAAUCUAUCUCCCUCAUGAAACAAUACUUGGUGGACCCAUUUUCUAUCGAUGGAUGUAUCCCAUAGAAAUGUGUUAAUUUAUUUGUAAAUUAUUCAUUCAUUCACCUCUAUGCCUUUAGUUACAACUUUUGAUAAUGUUGUAUAUCGUAUUUAGGUUUCUAUCCAAAUUGAAGUCUUAUUGCCGCAAUAAGCGUUAUCCAGAAGACUCAAUUGCUGAAGGCUACUUGGCUGAGGAGUGUAUGACUUUCUGUUCUAGAUAUUUGGAAGAUGUUGAAACAAGAAUAAACAAACCAAGUAGAAAUGAUGGGCUCACUGAUCAUAACUUGGCCAAAACUUAUUUAUUUCAAAGUUAUAGAGAACUAAUCGGCAAAGUUGAAAUUUCAGAAUUAGAUGAUAGAUCGUGGCUACAAGUACAUCGAUAUGGUCUUUUUCACCAUGAUUCAAUGGAACCAUUACGCAAGUAAGUUCUAGAAUUUGAUAAAUAUUCAUCAAUUACAAUUUGUUUAUCUUCUAACAAAGUAAACAUCUUUUUAACAUAGUGAGUACAAACAAAUCUUGAGAUCUCAUCCACGCUCCCGAAGAUUACAACAUCGAGAGAUUAAUAAGUUAUUCACAAAAUCUUUUCAUGAAUGGUUAAGCCAAACAGUAUGCAAUUGAAGCUUUCAUUGACAAAUAAUAAUAUUUUCUCAUAACAUUUAUAAUUACUCAAUUUACCUUCGAUUCAAUAGGUUUGGAGUGGGAAUGACGUAAAUGACGAAGUUAAAUGGCUUUCUCAAGGUCCGAAUAGAGUAGUAAAAAGAUAUAGUGCCUUCCUCAUCAAUGGAUUCCGAUUUCAAGCAAAAUAUCGGGAGAGAUUGAGGAGAACUCAAAAUUGUGGAAUAGUUGUUAAUUCUUCUAUUACAAGUUAUGCUAGUGCAAGGGACAGUAAUCCUGUUGAGGGAAAUGUGGAGUAUUACGGACUUCUUACUGACAUUAUUGAGUUGGAUUACUAUGGCAAAUGGAAAGUUGUCUUAUUUCGAUGUGAUUGGGCUAACGUUAAUACUGCUCGUGGAAUUAAAUAAGAUCAAUUUGGUUUUACAAUGGUGAAUUUCUCUCGAUUGAUUCACAUUGGACAACAAUUGAUAAAUGAGUUGUAUGUAUUUUCUUCUUAAGUGAAACAAGUUUUUUACUCAAAAGAUCCAACUGAUAAGGGUUGGUACGUUGUACUCCGUAACAUCCCUAGAGACUUGUUUGACAUGGGCAAUGGAAGUAGAGAUGACAUCGACGAUAGAUCAGAAACUUUACCUUUUUCAGAACAAAACUUAAAUGAAAAUAUCCCUAGUACUAGUACACAAUUUCAAUGGGUUCGUCAAGAUGUUGAUGAAGAUAUUUACGAAUUAUGAUGUAGUAAGAUUUUACGAUUUUUUAAUUAUAUGUAAGAUUAUAAUUUAAAUAUUGGUCUUAUUAAAUAUUUCAACUAUUUUAUAUGUGUUGUUAUUGUUCUAAUUAGUUACUAAAAUUUCAACUAUUUUAUGUGUAUUGCAGAUAAAAUGCCUAGAAGAAGAUUGUGAGAUCUAAGUAUUGUUCAAAAUACUCCAAACUCGGAAGAAACAAAUAGUGAACAACUGACUGCUAUUGGAUCUUCGAAUGUUCCGAAUACACCUAACGAACUUGCAGAAUUUCAAAGUAUGUUUAAAUUUAAUUUACAUGCGUAAUGACUUUUAUUAUUGAUUUCUUUUUCAAAUUCUUAUAUUAUAAUAUAUCAUUUUUCAGCUGAAAGUGUGGGACGCGCAGUGGUCGAAGACAUACACUACUUAAAGAUUUAUACGAGUUAGAUCCUGUCGAGCGUGUCAAAGUAUGUAGAAACAGUUUUGGUCAGCCUGUUGGAUCAGAAGCUCGGCUUUUAGCAGAUAUUUGGGCAUUAUAGCACGAAAUGCCAAUAUGUUGCCUAUCAACUACGAGUCAUGGCAUCAAAUGUCAAUAUUAAGGUAACAAAACCUUAAUGUAAUUUAUAAUACUUUGGUUUAAGUUUCAUUUAUAUUACUUUCUAAACUUGUGUUUUUUGUAGGCGAUGUUUGCUUUAGAGGUCUCGGAUAAUUAUGUCAAGAAGGCAUUGGGAAAAAGGUGGAGAGACCAUAAAAUUACUUUAAAGAAAGAAAAUUUUUAAGACAAAAACAACCCUCGAAGAGAAAUUGCGAAAUGUCCCGCUGGGAAUGUUGAGGUACCAAUGGAAAGAUGCGGUUAGAUUUUGGAAUUCAAAGAAAUGAGAGGUAUUACGUACUUCCAAACUCUUAUAACUAUUUCGGUUUAUAGUAUUUACUAUAUACGUAAUAAUAAUUUCAUAAUGUGGGAUCGUGAACGAGUUGGAACAAGCAGCAGGCAAAAACAGAAAUUCACUCACAUAGCUGGGUCGAAAAGUUUUGUUUGUGUAGUUGAGGCCGAGAUUUUUUGAAUUUAUAAAUAGUGUAAAAUAUUUAUUACUUUCCAUUAAAUAAUAUUUUUACUACUAUAUUGUAGGAACUGUCGUCUGGUCAAAAAGUUAGACGCCUUCAACUUUUUGACAUUACAUAUGGGAAGAAAAAUGGAUCUCCUAUGACUUCUGAAGCUGCAGAAAUUAUGGUAUGUUUAGUUAAUAAAAUUUUAAUUAUUUUAAAUAUUUAUAGUGUUUAAUUAUAAUGGUUUAAUUCAUCGUUUGUAAUGCAAAUAAUGUUAAGUUAUGUUGCAUUUGUUUUUAUUAUAUAUUUCGUUUCUAACUCUUUGAUUAAUUUAUUAGAAGAAACUAAAGGAUAAAAAGGCAGAGUAUGAAGCGAUUACUUCGAGUGAUAGUUUUGUUAAUGCUCACGAAAUUGAUAAUCGGGUUAUUACUGAAGUUUUGGGUCCUGAAGGGUAUGGACAGGUUCGAUUUCAAGGAUCUUUUGUUAAUCCAACCCAAUAUUUUGGAUCCAGCUCGCAGCAAUACAUGCUUUCGGGGAGUCAAGCUCAAGUUGAAAUUCAGAGGUUAAGAGACCAGAUGACUCAGAUGCAAGCGAACACAGUUGAGCUAAUUACUCAACUUAAAGCGAAUGCAGCAUCGAGAGAAGCUGAGGUUCAAAGAAAAAAUGAAGAACUCAAGCUACAACUUAAAGAAGAGGUAGCAGCGAGGGAAGCAGAGCAGAGCAGAAAGUACGACGCACUCUAACUACAGCUUCAGAAUAUGAUGAAGAUGUUUCAGCAGUCGCAAAAUCUGCCAUCUUAGACUAUUGUAUGAAUAUUUUUAACAUUUUAGCUUUUAACAUUAUUGUAUUAUACUUCAUUUAUCAAUUUAUAUCAUAUAUCAUUCGUUGAAUUUGAAGUAUCAUUUAGGUUGCUGUUUUUGGUUGGUUUCUAUGUUACAGGAAGGGUUGCAUAUGGAUGAAAAUUGGAUGUUAGAAAUCUGCCAAAAUUAGUGGCGUUUUCAAUAAAAGCGCCGCUAAAGAAUAUGACAUUUAGCGUCGUUUUCUAUAAAAGCGCCGCUAAAGAACAUGACCUUUAGCGGCGUUUCUUAUAAAAGCCCCGCUAAAGAAUAUGACAUUUAGCGGCGUUUGCUAUAAAGGCGCCGCUAAAGAACAUGACCUUUAGCGGCGUUUGCUAUAAAAGCGGCGAUAAAGAACAUGACCUUUAGUGGCGCUUAUCUUUAAACGCCGUUAGAGGUUAUGAUCUUUAGUGGUGUUUGUGGUAAAAACGCCGCUAAAUAUCAUGUUCUUUAGCGGCAUUUAUGUGAGAAAAAAGUCACAAAAAAUAACGGCAUGGUCUAUAGCGGCAUUUUUUGCGGCUCUUGUGAAAGUGCCGCAAAUACUUUUAGCGGCGCUUAUAGGCCUAAAAAAUGCCGCUGAAAGCCUAUUUUGCUGUAUUGUUAGUUUGUUAAGUUUACUCUGGAUUAUACCAAUUUUUAAUUUAUUUAUACUUAUAAUUGUUUGAUUCUAUUUUAUGAUUACUCGAAUAAUUUUUAUUGUAAUAAUUUAAUAUUUAUAAUCACUCAAACAUAUAUUUAUAUUGUAGUUUAAAUACUUAAAAAAAUUUUCAAAUCAAAAUUUGCUACCCUCUUCCUUUUCCCACACAGAUAGGUAAUUCCUUUUCUAUUUUCUUUUUCUUUUUAUUAUAUUAAUACAUUCUAAAUAAACUAAAUAUUUUAUAUAUAUAUAAUACAAGCUCAAUUCAACAACUUAUAUUUACUGGUUUAGAUAAUAUAGUUGAUAAGUUUUAACCAAAACACCCAACUGAGAAAUUUUUGUCAAAAUAUGCCUUAAAUUUUCACAAAAAAUAAAUCAAAUAACGGGAGGAUGAAAAUGAAUUUAGGUUAGAAUAAAUUUAAAUAUAACCAACUCAUGAUUUAAGUAUUGUUGUAGGAAUUAGAUCGGAUCAACUGAUUGGUAUAUUGAUCCAAACAAAAAAAUUCAAUCUAUUUUUGAGCAAACACUUAGAAUCAAUUGAACUGGGGCAGAAAUCAAUUGUAUCGAUUUUAUAAUUUUUAAAGAAUUUUUUUUAUAUUUUUAUAAUUUUAUGACUUAAUAAUUUAUUUAAUUAAAACCAAAUCGACGAUGAAACCAAAAAUCGAUGUUGGUGUGGUUUUUAAAAUCAUAGAUUUAAGUACUUAUGACAUCAUGUUCUCAAAAACUCAAACCUUUAUCAACAUAUAGAAUCGAAUCGAAUAGCGUUUUCAUCUCCCAAGUUUCUAUACAUAAACUAUGAACACUGAAUUAAACAAUACAAAAAUGGUAUUCUUCUUCCACUGACAUUUGAUAUCGGCUUCAGAAAAGGCAAAAGACAAGAAUAAAGAGAUAAAACAAAAGAUUAAAUCAAUCCUAUAUCCUUGACUGACAUAAUUUACCUUAAAAACUCUAUAUUUUAACCAAUCCCACCUAUAUGAUUUUUCUGUUUUCCUAUACAUAAAUUAAAGCUUACUUGGAACCAAGUCAUUGUAUUGUAUUUCACGUAAUUGUUUGAAGCAGAUCCUCAUCUCCUCCAUCUGCAUUGAAGGAAUAGAUGUCGACCGGGGCCAUCGUGCAACCCAUGGCGUUCUGCUUGGUUCUUUUAUUACGGGAGGAGCCUCGGUGUUUGUCUAGAUAGAUUACAAUCACGGUGAUAUCGUCGUGAAAAUGGCGCCUUAUCCCCUUUUCGAUUUUCUUGAUGUCACUGUAUCUCAUCUCCCUUUUCUUUGCAACUUCUUGAAGUGCAGCUCUUACCAAUCUCUUGGCAAUACCCUGCAAGCAUUCAAGCAAACAAAUAUCAAUACCGAAAUGCGUUGCAUUUCCAUACGUUUCAUUAGGUUAAUGGAAGAACACGAAUACUCACGGCUCUCGGGUUUUUGAAAACGAUGUUUACAGCAGCUUCAUCACUCAACUGCUCCCAUAGGCCGUCUGAUGCAAAGAUGAGGAAUUGAUCCUGGGGCUUCAGCUUUCUAAUAAGGAUCGAGGGUUCUGCUGUAAUAACCGGCCUUUUAAGAGGAACGGGGUUUCCGAACUGCUGGAAGAUCGGAUCUCUAUAAAACUCAGGUUUCUUCAGGUAAACAUCACCUAUAGAUCUUGACACCUGAAAUAAGACGAACAAAAAUGGCUCAGACCAGCAUGACCACUCACAUGCUCAAAGAUCAUGUAUUAAUCAAUCAUCUCCAGUUCUACAAUCCAAUGUACGAUAAAAGCUAAUGCAUCUUAUUCUCUCGAUACUGAACGGAUCGAAGUAUAAAGCUCAACUUGCCUACUAAAGUAAAGGGGAACAACAUCACAAAAAGAGAAGAAAAACAUAAAAACGAGAGAGCAAUGAUUCCCUGCAGUUACAUAAGCCUAGCUUUAUGCUUCAGGGGCCUGCAUUUGUCCAUCUCAUGCAUACAACGCAUACUAUAUGGAAAAUAGCAGCAUGAAACAGUACUGGAAAUCAGACCAAAAUAUUCUUGGAAAAGUCGAAAAACUCAGAAUUAUAACCAUUUUUUAGAAUGAACUUUCAUUCUAAUGCACAAUGUAUACAUCCAUAAUUAUAUUAUACCUCUCCAUCAAGCAAAAAGAAACAAAUGGGUUGCAAGCAAUGCCUACGAAGAGGAAGUUAAUUGGCAACUAUUUCUAGAAUCAACACAUUGAUCAUUCCUCAAGCAGACUAGUUUUGAACUAAACGAUUAUAAAUCAACUUGUCAAUAAAAUUGUACCUGGAUUAUGCCCUUAAUCCUCCAAACUCCGUGGGUGUAAACCACUAUAUGUGAGUCAUCUGGAUGAAGUUCCUCGACCUCCUUUCGAACUUCCUCAACUCCAACAUUAUGAUCAGUUGACAACCUCUCUGCCACUACUGUGUUUUCCUUAUCCCCCGAAGCUUUCCUGCCAAGAACAGCUCUCGAGUCACCGAGAUUUGCCACGUAUAACACAUCAUUCGAAAUUGCACCAACUAGACAGCAUGAUCCAACCGAAGCAAUUUGAGGCCUCACAGGCAAUGAUCGCUUCACCAAACGCAAAAACUCCUCUUCAGUGGCAUUGAAUGCCUUCUUUAUCACAUCUGCAGAUAAUCCCCCUUGUUCUGUAGCAAAUUCUACAAUGAAUAAAGAAAAAAAAAUUAAGGGUCUCCAUCAAUCUUUUUUAGAAUCCAAGUGCAUGCUUAUCACUGAAAAGGAUGCAAAACAAAGAAAAAUAAAUGACCUGAAAAAUGCCAAAACUUGAACUACACUUACUAAUUAUUCUGAAAAAUUCAAGUCCAAACAACCCCAAGUAGAUACAAAUUUAGACAAAUAGUUCAUAUUCUCUUUUCCCAUCAAAACAGACAUAGUACUACAUGACUAUGGAGCGGGGCAAGAUAGAUAUUGUCAAAUUCAUUACUGUUCCAUUGUUGGCAUGAUCUGCCUCGACCCCACUCUGCUUCGCCGUAAAUGUUAAAACUUGAAUAUCAUUACUUUUAAUAUGCAUAAUCUAUCAAUACCUCACCUAAUAUAUACAUUUUUACUCGUUUUAAAAGCUAAAUAAAUAAGAAUAAGGCAAAUAUCAAAAUUAAGUGCCCCAUAGGUCCCUCUUUUACUGUUAAAAAUUAGAAAAAGAAAGUCUAUUUGGAGUCAUCAGUUCGAAAUCUAUCAAACUAAAUACAUAUUUGAUGAUUCCAUAGACAGCUUAUGAUUUUCCUGACAAGGUCGUAUCCAUAUACAUACAUGAUCACAUGUUCAUUCAUGUCAUACAUACAUACAUACAUACAUACAUACAUACAUACAUACAUACAUACAUACAGAAUAGAAUGGGAAAAAAGGAAUGUUGCAAUAAAGAGGGAAAAAGGGAAUUACUGUGGAGAAAAGGGAAGAGAUGUUUGUUAACAAAACGGGAAGCUUCGGGACCGCCAUGACCAUCGUAGACGCCAACGUAGGUAGCAAAAGGAGAGGCCAAGACUUGGCUUUGAUCUUCGAGGCAGUUGUUAGCCUGCACGACGGCGAUGGAGAAAUCACCGGAAGCGUGGGGUUUAAGGUCAGCGUGCCACAUGAGAGCAUCCCCACCAGCUCUAACGCCAAGACAACGUUCGAGCGGCCUGGAAAGGGAACGUAACAUCAUCAUCAUCGUGUUUAAAAAAUAAUAAUAAUCCCUUUAUAGGGAAUUUGAUUAAAUGAAAACCUCUUCGAUGGUUUCAAUGGGGGGUUUCACUUUGGGGGAAGAGGAAAAUGGGAAGAUAUUAAGAGGGAAAGAGAGAGUAGAAAGUGGGGUAAAGUGAAUGGAAAAGAAAUGCCGCGUAAAGAGAGGAAGAUGAUGAUGACCAACGACCCCCGAUACUUGCUGUAAUUACUUCCCACUCUACGCGUUAACUAAUACCCUUUUUCUUCUUUUUUGACUUUUAAACCCAAAUCCUUUUUUUAUUUUUAAUUUAUUGAACGGAGAAGGUUAGGUCUAAUUUAAUAUUUCAAUUUUUAAAGAAUCGGAUCGGUGGUUGAAUUAUUCUCGAUUUAAUCUGUUAAUUUAGUUUAACUUAGAUUUGUUCAGGUGGUUCGAUUUGAAGAUUUGUUCGAAAGAGGAGAGAAUUUGGAUAAAAAUAUAAGCUUAAAAAAUAAAUUUUAAUAAAAAAAAUAAGGUACAUUUUUUAAAUGGGUCUCAAUAGAUCCAAACAAGAUAUACAAAUUUCUAAUAGAUCAGAUAAAAUCGCAAAGCAAAUAAUCCCAAGAUUCAAUUAUUCAUUAACUACCCGUAUAUCUUAAGAUUAAGAAUUAAAUAUUUUUUUAGUAUUUUUUUUUUUUGCGAGGAGCUGGAUGAGAAGAAACUCUCAUGUCCAGUUCUGUAGUAGAGAUGGAAUUCAUAAACAACAACCAUCAACUAUAACCCCAAAAGAACUCGAUUUCGUAAACGAGUCUCAAUAUUUUUUUGUUCGGGCCCAACCUAACUUGGCUCGAAUUUACCAAAAAAAAUUGUUAUGCUUUGUCACUAUUUUGCUGUUAUUUCGCUAUUAUAUUGUUACUAUUUUAUUAUUUUUGUUUAGAUAUUAUAUAACUAUUUUUUUAUUAUUGAUUUUGUUACUAUUUUAAAGGCAUUUGCUUGCUAAGUUGCACGUAUCUUAGUGUUAGUUGAGUAUAAAUAUUUUUUAAAAUUUUAUUUUCAAUAUAAAUAUUUUUAAAAAUUUAUUUUCAAUUUAUUGGGAAACAUUUAUUUUAAUAUUUUUAGUCUAUUUAAUGUAUUAUAUUUUUUAGAUUUGUUUUUAUAUAAAAAUAAAAAUAUAAAAAAAUUAAUACAAGCAAGUCGGGUCAGGCAUGGGUUUUAGCGUUUUUAUCCAGGUCAAGCUUAAGUAAAAUUUUAGGCCAAUUUUUCGAGUCAGACUCAGGCCUAGAAAAUAGGCCUAAAAUUUUAUCUCGGUCCAGCUGACCCAUGGAUAGCUCUAGUUCAGCCCCUUUGUCUGAAUUGAUAUAUCAAUCGAUUUAUUGGUUCAACUAGUUCGAUUAGUUGAUUUGAUUUGAUUCAAAAACACUAAGGGUUAUUUCAAGUUUAACUUAAUUUGUAUUUGUGCCGUUAGUUUGAAUUGUUUUGAUUUUAAAUCAUUCAAAUUCGACACUUAAUUUUUUGAGUCAAAUCUUUUUGGGUCUAUUUCAAAUUAUAAUUUUAUAAAAAGAAAGUGAAUUGAAUAAUAUCAAUGUUAUUAAAUUGGGUCACAAUUAAUAGGCGUACUAGAAUCUAAUUACAAAUAUAUAUCCAUAAGACAAAACCAAAAAUAAAGGAUUAACAUCUGACAAAGGAUUGACAAUGCAUUGUCCACAAAGUUAUCCACAAAUUUAAUUAGACACAAAACAAGAUAAACACUUACUAAAUGUAUGUAUAUAUGAUUAAAAUAGAGGGGUAACGUGAAUUCCGUAAGUUAACCUAACGAUUAAGAUACUCAUCGUUUCAAGGGUGAUUUGGGAUUGAGUCGCGUUAAUCACACCCUUAAUAGGGAUUUGCCCUCUUCUAGAAAAUGGAGGACUAAAAGUUUGAAAUCUUAUUUAGUAUUUACAGCCAUGAUUAAUUCUCUUUAUGAUCUCCACCCAUACAAUAAAUGUGAAAGGGGUAGCAGUAUAAAUAACAUGUCUUUAUAGGGGGCCGCCAUUCAAGAAUAUCUUACUUCCUCUGAACCUGACAGUGAGGCAUGGAUAGCAACUUACCUAACACAUGUAUCAAAUUCAACACUAAAAUUAAACUCAUAUACCAAAUUGAAAUUUAAAAAGAAAAACUCAAAUACAAAAUUCGACAUUAAAAUCAAACGGAAGUACCGAAAAACAUUCAUAAACCUUUUCCUUUGUUUUUGCACCCGUCAAAAUUCCAAGACUUACAUAUCUCUAAUUAAGAGCAUCAUCAUUUACAAAAAUUAAAAAAUUAAUCCCUCUACUUUAACUUGUUAUAAUUUGACCCACGUAAGUUAUAACAAUCGAAAAGUUAAUCUAAUUAAGUAAUAUUGUUAAACCUUAUUAUUGGAUUGUUUAUUUGGAAACCAGUAAUUUAACAACUUAUAUGCAACAAAUUAACAAAACUCAUUUGUUCAAGUUCAUGUUUUGAAUAACACCUGGACUCACUUUCCAAUUUUCAUAAGCUACAAUGACUAAAUUUUGACAAAUUAAAGUAGAGGGACCAACUUCUCAAUUUUCAUAAAGUAAGGGAUGAAAAUCAUAAUUAGACCAUGUAUAUGUUCUAUCGCGUAAGUUGGGGAUUGUUUUAUAGUAUACUUCUACAGUAAGGACAGUCCCCACACGUUCUGAGCCAAGGAUCUAAGCAAGCAAAGUGAAACCUGUGCCCACACGGCAGCUGAGUAAGCACAUCUCCUUCUCCGAAGCUUUCAAGGCAUAUACUGCAAUCUCUUGAUUCCCUUGAUGUCUUUCUUUCAACAUUGACGUCUUGGCUGCCGAAAAUUUCCAGUGGCAAACGGUCCAGAGCUUCCUGAGUAAGUCCAGGAGGCUUCUUGUUUGUUUCUCGUAACAAUUCGAACCUUUCUGCUUCAGAGGUUAAUGGGGAACCCCUAGCUGCCAACCCUGUAGAGAGUUCACUUAUGAUCCUAAAAUCAUCGCCCGUUACAUGCUCCCGGUGGUAAGCAUUAGGUGGAGCUCUAUUGCUUCGCCUGAAGAAAACAACAGGAAGAAACCGUAAUGAGAAGGAAAAGAAAAGAUGUACAAAAUGUUUAAAUAGCGGUUAAUGCAAGACCUAACAUAUAUGUGUCCAUUAUUGAAUGCCACACCAAGUAAAAUUCAGGAUCGAGUGGUCCACAUGCUUCUCUCAAGCAGUAGAUGGUAGUUAGGAAACGAGUAACACUAAUUCGCUGUGUACAUGAAGUGGUAGCAAAAGUGGUCUGGCUAGUCAUAGUGGCUAAUGAUGUUACUACUUAGAACCUAUGUUACUCAGACUCGGGCAUGGGUUUCAGAUAUGGAUAUGUAUCCAAUACAGGUAUGAUUACUUUUUCUAAGUUUUUCCAUAUAUUUAGAAGAUCCUUGGAGGUCAUAUCCUCGUAUUUGUGUGUCGGACACGAGUGAAAUGAAGAGUCCAAGCAACAUAGCUUAGAACCACUAAUAUUACCAUAGAAUAGGAAGCACCAGCAGUGGGACUGGACCAUAUUGAUAGUUAGCAAUGCGAGAACAACAGGCACUAAUGGGCAGAAAGCACCAAUAACAGCAGUGGGCCUGGAAAUUAAGGUACUACUGGUAGGUAAGGAGUGACGAAAGCAAUAUCAGCUUGAAUGUAUUAGCAGAAAUGGGACAGAAAUUUCAAGCAUAAAAACAUAAAUUCAAUCUAUUCAAGAAUAUAUAAAUAUAUAGAGAGAGAGACUAAAUUCAACUUAAACGAUGAGACUAAAUUCAACUUAAACAUUUUCAAGGAAAAAAGAAAAAGCCUGCCAAAACAUGAUUAUGUUAGGCAAUUCCAUAGAAGAAAGUUCAAAUUCACUAGUGACAACCCACCCGACUGACCAGCUGAAAAGUCCAUGGUAAGUUAGAAAAUAGUUUGGACUGAGUGAAAUUAGUCUCAACAUUAACUGACUACAAUCCCUAACAGCUCUAUCAUAUGAUACAGUAUCUCUAUUCUUACGGCUAAACCAAGUCAGACUCCUAGUGCCCCUAAUACAAUACUACAUAUUUAUCAUUUGGAUUCACUAAUAAUAAGGUAGCACAAUGAACUGCAAGGCACUGAAUCUUCCUACAGGUUACGAUGCAAAUUGCUCAUAUGAUAGACACUUCUUUUGAUCAUAUUGCACCCUCAACAGAUCCACAAAAUCAAAGUUCAAGAGCAAAAUCAUUCUGAAUUUAGGUAAAACUUUCACAGACACAGAGUUCCACAUGAUUUGUCUAUCCUAUCAUCAAACUUCAGAAAUAAGUAAUAGAGAAGAGAUGUGCUGUGCUGUCUUUAAAAAAUGAAAUUUGUGACAGACCAAGAAUAGUGGGAUAAAUUUGGUCCAACUAGAGUAGCAAAACAAAUUGAGUGCCACAGGCAAGUUCACCAUCAAUGAUAAAAGUGGCUUCCAAUUGGUGUCAAAGAUCAUGCAGAUAAGAAAGAACAUGAUUCAAUAGCUAUUAUAUUUACUUGUUCUUGCAGUUUGACUAGUAAUAAUGCUGUACAUAAUACAUGGACAAGAAAUGCAAACACUAAGAGUGGCAAAUUUGCAGAGAGCACUAGGUAACCUGUUUGCAGAAACAGACACGCCUCUUAGUCUUUCAACAAGCCUUGCUCUUGCAAGCAGCACAGCUCCGGGAAGCCUUUCAUUUGCUCUCAAACUUUGCCUGCUUGAACUGCUAACACCAUCUGCAUUUAAUCCAUAGCUCGAACUGAGCUCGCCAGUACCUUCAUCAAACCCUUCUCUAGCAAGCCUCUCACUUGAUCUCAAACUUUGCCUUCUUGCAUUGCUUACACUGACUGCAUUUAACCCAUUGCUCGAUACAAGCUCGCUGGUACCUUCAUCAAACCGCACUGAUGAACGCUCCUGAAAAAGUAAUAUCCAAAUAUAAGCGAUUCAGGCGAGGAGAAAUAAAUUACGUAGACGAGGUAAUAAUAUCAAACUUCCUUGUUUAUUCUUGUAUAUGUGGCAAAAACUUACUGCAAGUGAGCUUAGGCUUUGCUUGGUACCAAAGACGGAAACAUGGAAAAUUUGUUCAUCAAAUGUUAAGAUUCAUAUCCACCUUAUUACUUUGUAACUUAACCAUCAGAUAAACAAUUUUCCAAUUCACUCCUUUCCAUCCUUCAUAACAAGCAGAGCCUUAGGGUUUAGAAAAUUGUCAAGAAAAUACCUAUUCUUCAGUAAUUUCACUGAUAAAUUUAGCUUAAAACUACUAAUUUUCGGAGCAAAGUUCAAUAUUGGAGCAUAAAACAGACAACGAAUAAAGUACCAAUAAAUUGGUUGAAAAUCCAAUUUUUAAAUUAAAAAUAAAUAAAUAAAAGUGCGGUUUAUUUUCCCUUCCAAAAAUAAUACUUAAUCCACCCCCAUUUUUCCUUUAAUUUCUCUUUUUUUUCUCAGCAAUAAAAUAAAAACAAAUACCUAACAAGAAAUAAAUAAUUUGAAAAAAAAAGGUAAAAGAGAAAUUGAGCGUACAGAGAGCGAGGAAGCACGGGAGCUGAAGUGGCGCACGUGGGGAGACCGGCGGAAGGAAUCACCGCCGUCCAAAUCAUGCCUCUGAUUGUGAUGACUGAGAUGAUUCCGGCGAUGGUAAUUCCGUUCAAUUGAGGACCCAAUCCCUAAAUCCGGAUCGGGUCGACCCACUCUUGACCUUCGUGUGUAGAAUAACUCCGAAGCGCUUGUCAUCCAACUAAAACCCCCAAAUGGUGUUUUGAUCUGAUCUUACCAAUUAAAAUUUAUUUUUAAUUUCUCCAAAAAAACAAUUAAAUAAACAUGAAAAUUGUAAUUUGGAUUAAGAAAUAAAGGAGAGAUGUUGAUGAGCCCUACGAAGAAACGCGGGAGAAAUUCCUGCGAAUGAAAAUCGAUAGCCUUAGCUUCAAAGAAAAUGAAUGGAAAGGGAUGUGUGUUUUUUAACCCUAAAUGGUUUAAUUCCGGUUUUAGUCCCCCUCCUAUGCUAAAAUUUAAAAUUUAAUCUAUAUAUUUUAAUUUUAUAUAAUUUCAUCCUUGAUUUUAAGAAAUAAUAUUUGAUACACCGCUAAUACAUUAUCAUCGAACAAUGACAUGAUACUUCAGGAAAAACAAAAUUAGUGAAAGACUUAUCAAUAAAUAUUAACAAUUUUAUUUAGUGUUUUGAUUUUUAAAUUUCACAUUUCGAAUUUUAGAUAUAUUUAAAUAAAAUUAUUAAUAUUUAUUUAUAAGUCAUUCAUCAUUUUUUAUUUCAUUAGCAUUGAAAUGUCGUGGUUGACGAAACUUAUACAUCAACGAUAUAUCAAAUAUUUAUUUUUAUUUUUAUUAAUUUCUAUCAUUAAAACGAUGAUGUGAAAUCUUUUAUUGAAAAUUUUGUUAUGGUCAAGGUAGCCAUAAUAUAUGUUUUUUUAAUACAAAUUCUCGAUAACAAUUAGUAAUAUUAAGAAUAUAAAAAAAGUAAAUCAUGUUAAAUUAAUCGGUUUAAGGGUAUAAAAGGUUCUCAAAUUUAAAAAAAAACAAUUAAGUCUCUGUUUUUUCACUCGAGUAUUUUAACUUUCAAAAAUGCAUAAAAAGACUCUCAAACUUUUUCAAAAAAAGCAAUUAAGCCCAUACUUUUUUUUACGCUCAAUUGGGCACUUGAACUUUCAAAAUACAUAAAAAAAAAAUGCCUUCAAACUUUUUCAAAGAAGCAAUUAAGCCCAUGCUCUCUCUUUUUUUUUUUUUUGCACUCAAUUGGUUGGGUAAUUGAAUUGUCAAAAUGCAUAAAAAAAUAACCUUUGAUCGUUAACUUUAAUAUUUGACCGUUAAAAUUAACUGUCUCUAAUUUUUUUCCGUUAAAGUCAUCCUUUGUCACAACCACGACAUGACAUGUGGAAAAACAAUUAUAAAAAAUAAAAGUUAUAAAAAAAUAUUAAAUUUUAAUAAAAAUAUAAAGUUUAUUAAAAAUUGUAAAAUUUUAUAAAAAUAAUAAAUAAUUAUAAAAUGUAUCAAAAAGGCCAUUUAACCAUCAAUUUUAACCGUUGACUGUUAAAGUUAACAAUCCCUAUUUUUUUUCUAAUUAAAGUCAUCACGUAUCACAACAUAGUGUAACAUGUGGUAAAAAAUGAUAAAAAAAUAAAGAUCAAUUAAAGUUAUAGAAAAAUUAUAAAAUGCUUCUUUAAAUAUUAUAAAAUGCUUCUUUUGAUACGAUAAUUUUUAUAUUUUUUAAUGAAUUUUUAUUUCUUUACAUUUUUUAUAAUUUUCUUACAAUUUUAUAAAAUUUUACCAUUUUUAUAAUUGUUUUUUAUUUUUAUAAUUUGUUAAUAAUUUUUAAUAUUUUUAUAUUUUUAUUAAAAAUUAAUAAUGUUUAUAACUUUUAUUGAUUUUUGUUUUUUAUCAUUGUUUUGCCACAUGUCACGCCAUGUUGUGCCACGGGAUGACUUUAACUGAAAAAAUUAGGGUCAGUUAACUUUAACGGUUUGACUAUUAAAGGUAACGAUCAAAUGGUAUUUUUUUUAUGCAUUUUAACAAUUCAAGUACCCAAUUGAGUAUAAAAAAAAGGUUUAAUUGCUUUUUUCUGAAAAGUUUGAGGGCUUUUUUGAUGUAUUUUGAAAGUUUAAAUACUCAAUUGAAUGCAAAAAAAAGCAGGGGUUUAAUUGCUUUUUUUUUAAGUUUGAGAGUUUUUUUGAUGCAUUUUGACAAUUCAAAUACCUAAUUGAGUGCAAAAAAAAAAGAGAGCAGGGGUUAAUUAAUUUUCUUGAAAAAGCUCGAAGACUUUUUACACCCUUAAGCCAUUAAUCAACCGACUGAGUGAUUGAAAUUUGAUGAUUUGGGAAAAUAUCCGGUGAACAUCAAUUAGAGAAAUUAAAUCUGAAUUUCAAUAUAUUAGAGGGACUAAACCCAGAAAUUUACCGUGAAAAAAAAAAGGUAUAUUUUUAUGUGUUAGUUGAAAGAGUAGCAUUUAGAUGUAACCACGCGUUAAACAAAGUGUUCCAUUACAUCAACGAUAGAAUUUCUUUUCCUUCAACAAGAUUUUUUUGCGUUGACUGUUGACCAUGGAAAAACGAUAAAUCAAAUUAUUUAUUGAAAGUGAUAUAUAUUCCUUCCAAGAGAAUUCCUUUCUUACUAUCGAGAGUUUGAUUUUCACCGUGGGUAUCGAGAGUUUUAUCUCUUAAUUAACCUACAGAAUGGAAUAAAUUUAAUUAUUGGGUUUACUCUGAUAGAUACCUUGAGAAAUAAAAUAAAAAAUCGAUAUUAAAUGAAAUAGACAUAAUAAAUUUCUAAGCUUUGGUGAAUAUAAAUAGAAAACUAAAUGAAUUUUGGUUUAGGUAAAUUUUGGAUUCAGAUUAAAUUUAAAUUUUGGUUAAUUCUUAUUCAAGUCAAUUAAGUUUAAUUGUAAUUUCAGGUUAUAAUCACUUUGAGUUUAAGACAUUUUAAGUUAUUUAUUGGGGUCAUGUCUAGUUAUUUAUUUGAAUUGUUUCAAGUUUGGAUUAAUUUGAGUCAAUUUCAUAUUUAGGUUAGAUAAGUCAAUUUUCAAGAUAUGAACUAGAGUUGUCUAUGAGCCAGGUCAUCUGGUCUGGCCUGAAGGCCCAUCCGAAAAAUGGAAGGAUUUUAACAAAAAAAUAUAUGUCAAAAAAUGAGCUUGGACAAAAAAUAAGGCUCGUUUAGAAAAUGGGUCGGACCUCGAGUAACGUUUUUUUUUACCCUGGCUUUACCCAGAUUUGCAAUUAAAAAAUUUGUUUUUUUGCUAAAAUUUCACUAUUAUGUUGUUUCAAUUUGUUGGGAAACAUUCAUUUUAAUAUUUUUAGCGUAUUAUAUUUUUAAAAUUUUUUAUAUAAAAAAUUAAUACGGCCAGGCCAUGCCCGGGUUUUAGCAUUUUUAUCUAGGUCGGGCCUGAGCAAAAUUUUAAGUUCAUUUUUUGGGCCAAUUUGAGCCCAAAAAUUUAUCAGAACCCGACCUAACUCGAUCCAUGGACAACUUUAUAAAUAACUAUUUAUAUAUAUAAAUAUAAAUAUAUAAAUUGUCCAUGAGCUAUUUACUAUUUAGAGUAUUUAAAUAUGUCGAUUGAGAUUUAAGUUCUUUUUAUUCUGAGAGGUAGAAUAGCAUAAUUCAGCUAACGUAUAAUGAUCAUAUACCUCUAAUGCAUUAUAUGUCUCAUUCUUCUAUCAUUUUAGGGAGUUGAUGAUUAUUCAUAGCUAUUAUAUUGAUAUCAAAAAAGAGUUCGACCCAAUAACCAAAUACUUUUGCCAGAUUGAUUUUGGAUUAGAUUAAUAUGUUUUUGGUCAAUUUGAAUUUUAAAAAAUUUCAAAUUAUUUCAAUUUCGAUUAGUUUUAACUUUGGAUCAAUUCGUAUUCAAUUCUAUUUUAGGCUCAGAAUUAAAUGAAUCGAGGUAUUAAAUUUAAUGAUUUGUACAUACAUUUUGUGUAAAUCAUUUAAAUGUAUAGUUUAUUAUUAACAAAGUAAAAUUUUAUUUAAAAUAUUUUAAAUACCACUCUAACACAAUUACAUAAUUCAUAGAUUAUAGAUUACACUAGCAUUGAUAGUUGCAGCUUCUAAUUCCAAAAUAUUUUAUUCAAAUUUCAUAAAAAAACCCCUUCCCCUGUCUCCAUGACUAAUUUUGUUUGAUCAUCACAUAUUUGCAUGGGAAUAGUGUUCAUCAUGAACCGAAGACUCCGGUUUAUCAACACCGUCGACGCUUCGAACCCAGUAACUUGAACUGAAAGAAGCCGCCCGGUCCGGAACGUCAUCCAUCACCCAUUCAUGGCCUUUGGGGAAAUAUAUCCCACUCUUUGGAUGUGGAACCCAACUCGAUGAACCUUUUAUAUCGUUGUUACUCUUGCACUUCUUAUUGAUCUCUCGAUCUGCGCCUGCAAUUUUGCUCAAUGGUCGCUCAACGCGUUUUGCUUCCCUACACCCGAAUAAAGUUUCCAAAAGUCAAAUAUGUUUAUUAAGUUCAUAAUGAUUUGCUUCUAAAAUUUGUAUUCUUGUAUGGUUUUUUUGGUAAAAAAUUUAAUUUUUGGCUUUUCUAAAUACAAAACAAAUUUCAAAUUUCAUUUUUAACUAAACAAAAACAUCUCAAAACUAUGACUCAAACUUUAAAACGAUCUCAAAUGUUCUAAUUGAAUCCUUAAACAUAGAGCAUACUUAAAACACGUCUUAAAUAUGCUCUGCAUCAAACAUAAACUAACAUUUAACACCCAGAUAGACAUGACAAAAAAAACUUAGUUGGUACGAUACUAAUAUUUUUAGGACCCAAUUAAACCGUUUUAAAAUUUAAGGACUAAUUUUUAAAAAAAUCAUUCUAUAGAUUAAGAAAGUCUGUUGUAAUCAACCCAAAGAAUAACGACAACAUUACGUACCUUAGCAUCAAAAUCUUGGUUUUGGUAAAAGCAGCUCUUCCCAUGCAAUGCAGCUCUUUGAAACCCCUCAAAUUGUAUAAUGCAGCUCUUCAAAGGACUCCAAUGCAAUUAUCUAGGAUUUGAUCGUUUGAUUUAUAUAAUGCUUUCGAAAGUGCAGUUUUUGUACUUUAAAUUGUAUCCGAACGAAUGAAUAAAGGUUUGAGGAAUAAGUUCGAUUGCGAAGGUCUUCUCAAAUUUAAAAAUUUAGAAUAUGCUAUUUCGUAAUUUCCUCUUUUUAUUUUUAUUUUAAAAAAUUUAAUCAUUUUAUAUUUUUCGGAUUUAAGUAUACAGGUCCAAUUAUUAUUAAAAGUGAUUUGAUUAAAAAAUUAAAAAAUAUUUCGAAUUUCGAGUUAAUCGAAUUGAGUUGUUCGAUUUUUUUGAAUCGACCCGAAUAAGUAAUUCGAUUUCGAGUCGAGUUAAAUUUUACAAUUCGAAUAACAGAUUAAUGUAAAUACUCAUUUGGUCCCUGUCAAUUUAAAAAAUGGACAAAUUUGUCUCUCUCAACAAAGUUUACAAAAAAAAAUUCAAAAUAAUUUUCAAAAAGUUUUAAAUAAUUUUUAAAAUUCAAAAUUUAUAUUUAAAAAAUUAUAAAAAUUCUAAAGAAUAUAUAAAAAAAACUUAUUCUUUUUAAAUAAUAAUUUUUGGGAAAAUUAACUAUUUAAGUUUAUCAUACUAAAAUAUCUUCUUUUUUUCUUAUUUUGCUUUGAAAAAGUUUUCAAAUUUAUGUGCUCUAACAUUGAAUUAGUUAUAUUGUAACAAUAUUUUAAUUUGACAUAUUUAAUUUUUUAAUUUCACUCGAUUCAAAAAAAUUUCUAAUUGAGUUAGUAUGACAAAAUGAGACUCGUCAACUCGAUUCACUCGAAACUUUUUCACUUCAUUCGAUCGAAUGCUCACUCCCAACUAACAUCAUAAAAAUUCGUUUGUUAAAUUUAGGUUCGUUACAAUAUUAAUUUUUUAUUAUAUGACUAUCAAACUGGAAAAUAAAGAGAUAAAUAUAUAUUUUUGGUACUUAUGUUUAGCUUUGAUCUUAAUUUUCCUACUUACGUUCUUUUUUCAAAUUGGUACUUAUGUUGUCUUUAAUUACACAAAAUGGUAUCAAAUUUAGUAUAUGAUAUAUGUCGAUGAUGAUGUCAUAAUAACAUUUGGGAAAUUAUAAAAAAUAUAAAAAAUUCUAAUGUUUGAUACCAAAUAAAAAUAAUAUAAAUUUUUUAUAUUUUCAUAUUUUUAUAAAAAGGUAUCUUUUUUAUGAAAAUAUAAAAAUCAAUUUUUUUAUAAAAAUCAUUUUUUAUAAUUUUAUUAAAAAUUUAAAUCAAAAUCAUGAAAAUAUUCAUGAAGUUACAAAAAAGAAUUACAAUUUCUUACGUGAAAUAUAUAUGUUGUAUUUCUAGAAAUUUUUAGAUUUGUAAUAUCUUUAAAUUUUUGGAUAAUGACAUUAUCAUCAUCACAUGUCAAAUGAUCAUUGGACCACAAAAUAAAAGUUAGUAUCAUUCAACUUAGGUACCAUUCUGUGUAACAGUAGUCAAACAUGGGUACCAAUUUGAAAAAAAAUGAAUAUUGAAAUCAAACAUAUGUACCCAAAAAUAUAUUUACUUUUUUUACUAAAAUGGUUUAAAUUAAAUUAUUAUUUUUUAAGAGGGGUCAAAAAUGAAAAUUUUCAUUUAAAAAGAAUUAAAAUAUUAAAUUUUAGGAGGGGCUAAGAUGCAAUUCCAUUACCAAGGAAGCAAAGCCUCUAACUGCCCUGAGUUCGUCAUUGUCAUUAACAAUUUACGUCAUGAACGAAGUUUAGCGCGAAGUUUGGGGACAAAUUGUGGCCUUGACCCUCUUACAUUUAAAAAAUUCAAUUUAAUCUCUUUUAGCCCAAUUAUUAAGGGGAGGUCAACUUCUUUAAAAGAAGUUGCCGAAGUAUCAUUCAUUAAGGCUGGCGAAUUCCUCAAUAAAUCGGUAUUAUUUCAAUUGAAAUUUUGUCUCCUAACUCUAUCGAGAAUUCAAGUGCUAAAAGAAUUAACGGGUUCACAAAACAAAUGUACAUUCUGUUACUCCAAAUAAACGAGAAUUAACAAAUUUCUCCCCAAAAAAUCCGCCUCCUCUCGUUACCUCUUUUUCAAAAGUAAAUCUUAAUUCGCUCAGGGGAUUUGGAAUAUUGAGACUUUUUUAGUGAAAAGAGUGGCAAAUUGGUGUGACACCUAAGGUCACUUUUAACAUAUAGCUCUAAAUUUUUAGAAACAUUGUGAAUCGUUACUUCAGCAUAUGCCUCUUGUUUUUUCCCUUCUUUCACCAGAACAUAUUCAUAUUCAAUGCAAAUAACUUAUCUCUUACACAUUUGAUUGUUGGUUAAAUUCGAGUUUUAGUCCCUAUAUUAUACUUAAUUUAAACUUUAGUCUUUAAUGUGACGUAAUCUAACUUUCUUACUGUUAUCGGUGUUAUUCUUUAGUCUAAAUCCCUAACAUCAACACAACUCGAAAUUCAUUAUAUCAUUUAAACAUUAAAAUUAUUUAUUUAACUUGUGAUUUAAAUAAAAAUUAAAUUAUGAAAUAUCCACGAUAUGGAUAAAAAAAACAAAAUUAUGUGUCAAUUAUAUUUGUAAAAAAAAUGAAAUUUUAAUUACAAUGAUAAAGUUCAAAUUAACUUUAUAUAAUGCAAUGAUGUUUUAGUCAUUGUUCAAUUGAAUUAGUGCCUAAUAACUCGUAACACCAAUUUAAUUAAUUAUGAAUAACAUUAAGUUUUAUUAUCUUUCUUUCUUUAAUAGAUUACGGUCGACUACUUAAAAAAAUUACAGUUAAUUAUUAUUUUAUAAGGUAAACUAUCAAAAUAGUCACUUUUGUUUCUUUCAGGUUACAUUUUAGUCACUUAUGUUUAAAAUGUUAAGUUUUAGUCACUUACGUUUAUCGUAUUGUAACAUUUUAGUCACUGAGCGUUAAUUACCGUUAGCAGUGUAACAAUAAAGCUAAUGUAACACGUUAAAUCAUCAAUUCAAACGAAAAUUUUAAGUUAAAUUAUAUAAUUGGUCCCUAUAUUUUUUUUGAGCAAUUUAAUUUUUUUAUUUUAUAUUCUUUGAAUUUUUUUUAAUUUUCCGUUCUCUUCUGUUUCUCCCUCUAUUUUCCUCCGUUCUCCGUCUCUUUUAACUUAAUUUUUCUAUGUUUUUCAUUUCUUAAAAUUUAUUCAUUUUUUUCUUUUAUGUAUUUUUUCUACGUUAAAAGAUAUGGAGAAGGGAUGAAAAUAGAGGAAGAAGUAGAAGAGAAUGAAAAAAAAAAGAAAAAAAAAGGAAAGUUAAAAGAAACAUAAAAGUAAAAAAAUUAAAUUCCUCAAAAUAAAAAAAUAUGGGGAUCAAUUGUAUAAUUUAAUUAUUUGAAAUGAUGAUUUAACGUGCCACAUCAGCUUACCGUUAAUGACAAUUAACGGCCCAGUGACUAAAAUGUUACAACACUUUAACAUAAGUGACUAAAAUGUAACAAUUCAAACAUAAGUGGCUGAAAUAUAAUAAUUGAAACAUAAGUAACUAUUUUAACAAUUUAUCCUAUUUUAUAUUAUAUGAAAUAACAUUAUAAAGGCUAUUUAUAUUAAAAUAUUAAUUAAUAAAAUCAGUUCAACCAACGAAUUUAGGCAAUAAAUAACUAAUAUUUAGUAGAAAAGGGUAGCACCUCAAAGACAAAGCCAGUGAGUACUUUUUUUUUUAAUCGAAAGCUCCCUUCCAUAUAUUUUUUGAUUUUUUUUAAUUUCUUCGUAGUUAAAUCAUUAAUGGUUUGUUGAUUGAGUCUUAACUCAAUUGAUAUAGAUAUUAUUGUUAAUGUAGGAGGACGUGAGUUCGAGUGCGCUAAAGUGUACUAUCCUCAUGUUUAUAGAUUGAAGAGAGACUAGAGCAGAUAUAAUGAAAACUUAUAAUAAGAUUAUUCAGAAAAUCAAUUUCACAAUUGAGUAGGAGAUUGAAUAUUAUAAAAAGAGUAAAUAAAUAAUAAUAAUUUUAUAGAAAAUAUCUUCAAAUCCCAACAAGAAGAAUAUAUAUAAUAUUUGGUUUGGUCAAUCACGAAAAGAACUUAGAUUUUAACAAAAUAUAUUAAUUUUUAAAAAAGAAAAAAACCAAACUUUUUGUAGAAUAUAAUUUUUUUUUAAAAGGAAAGAAUAUUUAAAGAAAAACAAUUGUCAUAAUAGAAUUACUCUUUAAAUUGAAUCGUAUAUGACUAUGAGAUCUUUGGUCGGUUUUAAGAGGUCUCGAACAAUUUAGAAGUAGAAAUCAAAUCUUUUGUUACUUACAAUGUUUAUAUGUUUAGUUGACUUUGAAUGAUUACAAAAAUUCAUUCAUUAACUUUUAUCUCAUCAAGUGUUUUUUUAGAGAGAUGAUCAUGCAUUGUAAUACAUUGAAGGAAACAUAUGGAUUUUACCGUGGUUAAAGUAAGUUGUUGACACCGUUUUUUUUUUGUAAAACGGGGUCGACUUGAAUUUUGAAAAUGAAAACAAAAAUGAAGUUGCUACCAAUCCUUUUUUAUGAGCUGUGAUCGGAUCACCUCGAAAAGUGGUUGUUUUUAAUAAAUGAUUUGGUUUUAUUAAAAUAACGAUUUUGGUCCACGAAAUUCAAAAAAAUAGGUUCGGGAUUCGGUUACAUACGAGGAAGUAUUAGCACCCUCGUAACGCCCAAAUUUGGUAUCAAAUUGAUUAAUUAGCGCUUUAGUGUCGAAGAUUGAAAACUUUGAAGAGUUUUAAAAAAUACGAUCCUAAAAAUUUUUUCGAAUAAUAUGAGUUGAAAUUUAGGAUCUUCUUGUUUCGAAAGAAUAUCACAUCCAGCACGUUAAGAUACGAUACUUUAAACCCUCGAAACCAAGAUUACCUUAUGGUUCCCAAAACCCAUAAUUUGAAAUUUUAAAAGGAUAUUUGACUAUUUGGCCAAACGAGAAAUUGAAACCCAGCACGUUAGGGCACGUUUUCUCGAAUUUUCAAACGCAAAAUAUUGCCUUAUUUAGAAAAAUUUUCCUUUUUGAGGUAUGGUGUUAACAUGCAUAAUGAAAUAAUAAAUACGAUAAUGUAAAUAAAAAUAAUACGAGCAAAAACAAAAAUAAAUAAAAAAUAAUGAUAAAAAAAGACAAACCAAUUAUAUAUAAUAAUAAAUAAACAAAUAAAAAUUAAACAUUUUAAAAUAAUAAUAAUGGACACAUAAAUGAAUAAAUAAAGAAAUAUUAAGUAAAACAAUGAUAAGAAUAAAGAAAAUGAAUAAAAUUAUAAACAUAUAAGAAUGCAUAUAUGUAUAUAUGUACAUAACAAAGUUUGAAAUAAAAAAGAUAUAAACAAGCAAGUAAUAAUUUCAAUAUAUAAUAAGACCAAUAUAUUUGAAGUUUAAAUAAGUAAACAUAAAUGAUAAUAUAAUAACAAUUACAAAUGAUAAUAAUAAUCAUAAUAAUAUCUAAUUUUCUAAUAUUAUUAAUAAAAUAACUAAAAUAAUAGAACAAACAGGCUAAAUCCAAUUUUAAAACAAAAUUCGGGGUUUAAAACACAAAUAAACAAAAAAGGGUCCCCAAAGACCUAAAUAUAAUGUGCACAAAGAACAGAGGGCUGACUUGGAAAAUAUCCCAAGCCCUAUGCGCAGCGUUUUAGAGCAGACUAAAAUGAAAUGCGCGGAAAAUAACGCGACCAAAUAAAAAAGUAAAAAUGGGACCAGAUUGCACUAAGGCGCAAAAGAUGAGGGACCUCGCGCGCAAAUAUCCCCUUCACCGCAGAAACACGUGGAUCCUAAGGGUGGACGGGUCGGGUUGCGGGUCAGGGCCAAAACGACGUCGUUUUGGCACCUGACCCCUAGUUGCAAAACGACACCGUUUUAUUUAGGCUAUUUAAGCAAAAAAAAAAUCAUUUCAGCUACCACUUAAAAAAAAUCAAAGAAAACCCUUCCCCCUUUUCUCUUCCCCAAAUCCGGCCAAGGUUUCCGGUCGUAGCGCCGCCGUAGCCGGUGGCCGGCGUUGCGCAAAAGGGGCGAUUCAACCCUAGUUUUCGGCGCGCACAAAGGCGAAGCCCUUUUAAACCGAUGGGCCGCCAGAAAGGGGUGAUUUGAAACUUCUUCCGAGCUCGAAUCCGACGCCGACAAGGGGUCUCCGACAGUGCAAACAGAUUCAGGUACCUUCUCUUUUCUUUUUUUUCUAUUCGUUUUUUGUUUAUAAAAAUAAGGAAGAAAAACAA